GCAGGGCAGCUGUCCCAAGCCCUGACCUUCCCUUGGAUUGCCCUGACUGUACUGUCCCCUGCUCAACAGGAAGGGUGCUAACUUCUACCAAAGACAAGACAUUGAGUCAGACCUGCAUGAUUUUAUUUAAUCCUCCCCUAAUUCAGAAAGGUAAGUAUUCUUACACUCAUGUUACUCUUGAAAGAACUGUAGUUGAGAUGUAUUAAAUAACUUGAUUGAGACUGGAUUAUAUUUAUUUAUUUUUACAUCCCUUAUCUCUUCCACAAAGGAUGUUAGAUGGUGCUGAAAGAUUGAGAUGGCGGGGCGUUGAGGGGAAGGGUGGCCUUUGUUGACGUAAGCAGUUCUCCAUUCAGGAUCCAAACCUAUCAGCGGAUCAGUGAGUUAGAUUACAGGAGCCCCUCUCUUUUUUAAUGUUCUCCCUUUCCUACUCCUACCAUGACAGUUUUGUGUCAAAGAUAGUUAUUUCACUUCAAGCAAAGGGGUGAUUUAUGCCAAGGUUUUCUGUUCAUGCUUGUGGCUUCUGAUUUCUUCCUCCAGUGCUGUCCUUAUAACUUCCUCCAAUGUAGGUGACUCUUGGCCCUUUCCCUCUUAUUAAGCCCUACUCCAGAGGGAGAAACAAAUAAACUCAUUCUCAGAAAGGUGCCAAUUGUGCAUCAGUUCUAGUCCUAAUGCCUUUUCCAGAGGCAUUUUCUUUGUUAAAAGGAGGAAGAAAAGACAUAAACAGAAAAAAAAAAAUCCUUUCAGGGAACAGCUGUUGUAAUCAGUGGGCAGUUGGGCAAUUGAGGUGCAUUUCCACCAUUUUCACCUGGGGAAGUUUUCUGUGGCUCUGCAGAGCACUUGACACCCUUCAGUUUGCCAAGGUAACCACAGUGAGGAAGAGGCCAGCUUGGGAGUGACAGGACUCACCCUCCAAGGCUUCUACCUUUCCUCCUCCUUUGGUUUACAUUCUCAUAUUUCAGGUUUAAUAUGUCCUUGAAUUUGGGUGAAGGAGAGAAAUUUGGUUUACAUGUAUGUCAUUGAUAACUCAGAAGAAAGGAAUAGGGUCCUCUAAAUUAAUUUAAGGAGACUGAAACAUUUUUUUGAAGGUCAGGUAAAAUUAAAUGGCCUGUACAUUUUCUAGUUUCUGGCAUUUUUAAAAAGGAACCGAACACCCCUAUAUAAGAAAGAUUGGGUAAAGAUGGUCAGAGUUUAUAUUUAAAAAUUUAUAGUUUUUAAUGUGUUUUGAAAAAUAUUAGUAAUACAAGCUCAUUGAUGCAAAUCAUGGACUACAGAGGCACUCUCUUCUUCUAGAGAUAUUAGUUUGGCAUGUAGCCUUUCAUAGUUUUCUCUGUGUUCUUACAAACAGACCUAUUAAAUGUGGAUUUAUAUAAAUAUAUUGUAUAUGUAUGUGCAUAUACAUAUAUAUACAUAUAUGUAUGUAUACACACAUAUACAUAAAGCAUACAGUAGGAUUUAUUUUCCAAUUCCUAGAAAUAAAAAAAUAUGCUUUCAAACUGAAUUAAUUACCUACAACUUGCUUCCUUUCACUGACAAUAAGUCCUGGACUUCUCUCCAGGGAAUACAAAUAAACCUAAUUCUGCUUUUCAAUACCAUAUUCAAUAGCAUGUCGAUGUCACAAUAUAUCUGAGCAUUCCCCUGUGGGGUACAUUAUGUCAUUUCCAGUGCUGUGCCUCCAUGAGGUUAUAAGUUCUGAAGUGUGAAGAACAUCCUCAAAUUGAUCAGGAUCAGAAAAUCCAGUGGUGAAUGGGCAAAAUUUAUAAACAGAUAAUUCACAGAGUAGGGAAGGAAAAUGUCCAAACAUUGCCACAGUGUGGCUGGGCACAAAUCACAAGCCACUGAAGCAGGAACAAACUUUAUUUCUGAACUCCACCAGCACACUCCACACAUGCUCCCCGGGAAUUCUCCCCUAUGAACCAUGCAUGCGGGGUUCUCUUGGGACACACUACACCAACAGGAAAUCCCUCCUCCGGAAAUCUCUCCUACCACACUUCCCCAACCAAUGGGAACUCUCCAGGAGAAAGUAGCAGGCCUAGGUGGACAGCAGGGGUCUAAUCUCCAAUUGAAUGCAAAUCUUAACAUAAUCAUUAUCAUCUCAAUGGCUUGCUGGGGUCACCUUUCAACCAAAAAUGCCAUGGGUCAUUCCUACUUGGCUAUGGCUCUCAGUGAAAGAUGAUAUAUCAAGAACUAUGUAAUGUUUUGAACAACCAACAAUAAAAAAAAAAAAAAAGCAAAAGAUAAAUAAAGAGAUGAUCAACUCUCUGGGGUCACCAAUAUGCAAAUGGAAAUAAUUUGCUGCAUUCUUUUUAUUCCUUAGGUUGAUAAACACUGAAAAGGCUUGUCAACAUGUAUUGUAAAGAACAAGGUCUAGUAGGUGGGAGCAUAUGUUGUAACUCAGUAGUGUGUUUCAAAACCAGGGCUGCUUAGCCUCUUGAUGCUGCAGCUCCCAUGUGGAAUCAUAGCACAUGUGAUAAAAACACCAGAGAUGGGCGCUUUUCAAGGAAUACAAUUUCAAAGAUGUUUACUGUCAGUUUGACCUUCAGAUCCAGCAAUUUUAUUUCACUCUGACGGCUUGCAAGAGAGAAAUCUGAUUUUGACAGAAGUCUUAGCACAGUGCCAGGUUCACAGCUCAGUGAAUGCUUACUGUCACUGUCAUUGGCAAACUGAAGCGAGAAGUAAAAACAACACAAUAACAACAAAACAAAACAAAACAGGGAAAAUCAGAACCGAAGACUAAGUGACCAUGAAAAGGCACCCGUGAAUGUUUGUGGAGUAUCUGUGAGCAUGAAUUCCAUGCAGAUGUUCUACUCUCCCCAGAAACAUAAGCCCCAGGAAGGUGGGGAAGUCACGUGUGUGCUCUUGCUACCAGGCGGCGUGCUGCGGUCAUGUAGUGAAUGUCAAACAAGAAAACUCCCCCAAAGGAUGGCUCUAAUUAUUUUCUCCAGUUGUGUGUAUCUGCAUUGAACUUUGAUUUGUCCAUAAAAAUAAUGCAAGCUUUUAAUCUUUUCCUUACGUUUUUUAAAACUACUUACAUCUACUCUACUCACAUUACAAUUUCAGAGCACUAGUAUUCCAAUAUCUUUCUUGGAGGUUCUGGACAAAUCAUAUAGGCAUUAUGUGUCAUCCAGCAAUUAUGGACUUUGUACCCACUAUGUCCUGAGAACUACUGCAAGUGCUGAAAUGAUACCUAUGACAGGUCUCGGCUCUGGAGCACUGUUUGAGGUCUGGGGCUGCAGGGUGAGAUGGUGUGCCGAGGAGAAGGUUGAAAUUUUAAUAAAUGUAGUGCAAUAAGUUCUUAAAACAAAGGAAUGUAUCCCCUUAAGAGGAGAUGACAUUUGAGUCUUGAAGGGUGAGUGGACUUCUUUCAGAGGGGAUAGGAGGCAGGAAAGGACACAGAGAAGAGCAGAGAUUGGUGGAGUGCACAAUGGGAAAGAAGACCAGAUGUUCCUUCACACCUGGAUCAUAAAAGGCUCUACUGAAGAAGACAGGGUCCAAGAAGAGAAAACCAAUGAGGCUAUAAGUAGGAGAAAGGAACCAAGUUACACUUUCAUAAAACAGAUUCUAGAAUUGAGGCUGGGUAGAGGGCUGGUUGUAGGGAAGACACCAAGGAUCCUAUAUAAUGACAUUGAAGGGACACCAUGAUGUUUUCGUUAAGAUCACAGCCCGAGCCAGGGUCUUGGGCUCAAGUCCCAACUUCAUCAUUUAUUAGCUAUGUGAUCUUGAGAAGGUUACUUAUUUCCCCAUCUAUAAAUCAGAGAUAAUAAAAGUCCAUCUCAUGGAGUUUCUAGGAGAAUUAAAAGUUAAUAUUUAUAAAGUGCUUAAGACAAUGCCUCAUGCAUAGUAAGUGUAUUGCAACUAAUUGCUAAUUAAAAUAAUAAUUCUGAGUAACAGAUACUGAAAGUCAAGACUAAGUAAUUGGCAGUAGCAACAGAAAGGAAGGGCUGGCUAGAAUUGAGAUGUUUAUUUUCCAGGCAAAAUUUAAGAGGUUUUGAUGACCAGUCAGUUGGAUGUGAAAUGAAGAUGUGAACAAGCUAGACUCUGAAGUAAUACGGCCCCAGUCUCCAUGAGAGGAUAUUCAAUAUCACUCAAAAACUCACUUUCCUGCCAGGCACAGUGGUGCAUGCCUGUAAUCCCAGUGGCUUGGUAGGCUGAGAUAGGAGGAUUGCAAGUUCAAAGCCAGACACAGCAAAAGCAAGGUGCUAAGCAACUCAGUGAGACCAUGUCUCUAAAUAAAAUACAAAAUAGGGCUGGGGAUGUAGCUCAGUGGUCGAGUGCCCCUCAGUUCAAUCCCCGGUACCCUCCCCUGCUAAAAAAGACCUCACUUUCCCUCUCUAUGAAAUAAAGCUGCUAAUGAAUGAAUGUAUAAUCUCAUAUGGCUGUUCUAGUGCUUAAACCAGAAAAUGUAUAUAAAAUACAUAGCACAGUGCCUGACAGUAAGUUCUCAAUAAAUGUUACUUCUAUUAUGAUGACUCAAAGUUUAUAGGGAGGAUGAGAGAGAAUGGUUUAUGGUACUAUUCACCAAGAGGACCUCAUGGUGUUAAGGAUAGAAGAAAGACAGCAAGUUGCAUUUUGAACUGAAUUUGAGAUACUUGCAGGACAUUAAGUGUGAUAUCUUGUUGGGAAAUGGCUCUGGAAUUCCAGUGAGAGGCUUUGAGAUUGCCAUAUAUAGGUUAUAGAAUCAGAUAUGAUCACCUACAGAGUGUUUCCUAGGUAGUGGGAGAGAAUAUUGAGGCAGCACUCUGCAGCCUCCCAACUCCAACACUCAUGGGUCAGCCUGCAGGAGGAGGAACUGGAAAGGAGAAGCAAGAAAACUGUCUUGUCUUAUGUGAAAAUUGGAAUUUAUCCACAAGGAUGAUCUCAUAUUUGAAGUGUUACAACACAUUCAUACUCAUUAUCUACAUUCAUGCAAUCCUGUAAAGGGUUCUUCAGCAAUUUACACUGAAGCUCUGGUUUCACAUGGCAGAGCUAAGACUUGAAACCAGGUCUUUCUCUUACAAAUCCAGUUUUCUCCCUCCUGUAUUUGGCUUUUGGAAAAAAACAAACAAAAUAAAACAAAAACUAAGUGAAAUGCAGACUUGAGCUAACCUCUUUCUGUAAUUUUUGGGACUAUAGAACCCAUUGAGAUUCUUGGAGCAAAUACACAUUAGUAUCCUUUCAAUUGCACCCAGGCUGGAAAUCUUUUUUGGUCAUCUUUGCCUUGGCCCAGGGGACCAGGAAGAUUAACCUUGAGGGGUCAGAGUUGAAGAAUAGGCUCCCUUUCUCAGGGCAGGUGAGUAGAGAAGGGUGCAACACAGAGGUUCUUGCAGGUGUCCUGUAAGUAGUUGGGAUUUUUCUGCCCUCAUCUUGCCCUAGGUGAGGGACAACAGUUGAUAUCUUUAGAAUUUCUGCCUGUUCUCUUUCACCGGAUGAGAGAGCCUAAGCCUAAAUUGGGCUUCUCUGAAUUUACAUUCUGGUUUUGCUACUUGCCAGCGAAGUGACUUUGGGCUUGUCACUGAACUCUUAGAAGAUUUAGUUUCCUUUUUCAGAAAAUGAGGCUAGUAAUAUCUUCCUAAAGGAUGUGUUGUUUUUGGCAAAUAUUGAUGCUCAGGAAAAAUUUGAUUGAGUCUUAAUUCAGAUUAAAACCCCUCUGUGGCUCUCCAUUGUUCUGGAACAAAGGUUACUUUAUCUCAACUGGGCUGAAGCUCCUGGAGAGGCUCAGCCUCUACCUUUCAGCCUCUUUCUACAUCAUGGAUUGCCAGUCCUUAGCCUUUUUCCUGUUCCUGCUACUUACCAUGCACCCUCUAACCACAGGCCUUUGCAUCUCAUCUAUUGACUCCUCUCUCUAUCCUCCUCUCCUCCUUGGCAGUUUAACUUCUACUCACUUUUUUUUCUUUGGUACCAGGAAUUGAACCCAGGGGUGCUUAACAACUGUCACAGCUCCAGCCCCCCCUUUUUUUGUAUUUUACAUAGAGAUAGGGUCUCAUUGAGUUGCUUAGGGCCUUGGUAAGUUGCUGAGGCUGACUGUGAACUUGUGAUCCUCCUGCCUCAGUCUCCUGAGCUGCUGGGAUUACAGGUGUGCACCACCAUGCCUGGCUCUACUCACCUUUAAGAAUUCAGUUUAUAUGUUCCUACUCCAGAGAAGUCUUCUCUGAUUUGUAGAUGAAUUUACCCCAUCCUUUUUUCUCUGUGCUUAGAAUAGGUGUGAUUUUUUUUUCUUAUUGAAUUGUACAGUUUUUUGAUUUAUGGUUGGGAAAAAUAGAACUAUGUUUUUGUUAACUUUGAAAUUUAAGGCAGGUAGCUUGUCACAGAGUAAAUUCUCCAUACUUGUUCAUUAACCAAAUGGAUGAGAUAAUGUAUGCAAAAUUCUUGACCAUCAGAAAUGCUUGAUUAAUUUCAGUUGAUUUCAUAGACCCAAGAAUUGUGCCAGACACCUCUCAUGUCUGUAAAGCUCUGGGGCCCUCUGGAAGACAAUAUUCCUUUAUGAAAUUAAUGUUGUCUUUGAACUUGUGCAAAAACAGUUUGAAUACCAGGUUAGCUUACUACCUGAACAAGUUUUGUUGUCACUCUCAUUUCCCAUUGCUUCAUCUGCAGAAUGGGGCAAUAAAUCUGUCCCAAGGCUAUUCUGGUUUUUAUAAAUAUUUUUGGAGUGCCUUCUACAUGCCAGGCCUUUUAGAAUUUAGAAGAUUCAGUUUCCUUUUUAAGGAAAUGGAUCUAGUAAUAUCUUCCUAAAGGAUUUGUUGUUUUUGGCAAAUAUUGAUGUUCAGAACAAUUGGAUUGGGUCUUAAUUCAGAUCAAAACCCUUCUGUGGCUCCCCAUUGCUCAGGGACAAAGGCUACUUUGUCCUCUGGAAAUAGAACUGGGAACUUUAUCAAUAAAAGUAGUUGCUCAUAUUGUAGUGGGGAAGACAGGAAAUAAAUAAGGCAAACAAAUAUCUCCUAUGGUAUGAAGGAGGAAAUGCAGCAGCAAGGGGAAGAGAGGUGUGCAAUUUGAGAAAGCUGUAUCUAAAUGACGAAGUGAAGAGUGUAAGAGCAUUUUAGGCAGAGGGGAGAUAAGAACAAAGUACACUCCUGAGCAGGAGUGUACUUGGCAUAGUUAAGUAAUAGAGUAGCCUGUUUCCUUGGCUGGAGAGAAGGGUUAUAAUCAGAGAGGUCUGAGAGGUGACAGAGGCCAGGUCACAUAGGGUUUUAUGGGUUACUAUAAGUGCUUUGAUUAAGUACUUUAGUUAUGGAUCACUAUAGGUACUUUAAAUUGGGAGGGUUUUGGAUCAGGAAGGGCUAUGCAUUUCAAUAUGUUAAUAGGCUCACUCUGGCUGCUGUGUUCAGAGUAGGAUGGACAGGGCCAAAGGAAGAAAUGGGGAGAAGAGCCAGAAGAGAGAUGCUGGUGGCUUGAAUCAGGGUGGCAGCAACAGAAGUGGUAAGGGGUGGUUAGGUUCUCUCUGUAUUUUUAAGGUAAAGCUGAUUUGCUAACAACUUGGUUGUGAGGUAUUAGAAAAAAAGAUUCAAAGGAGAAGGAACAACAGGAAGAAGGGAAGGAGCUAGCAUUUACUGAGUUGGGGAAAGUUUGGGGAGAACUUGUCACAUGGAGUGGAAAUCAGAACUUCAUGUUUGGACUCUUAAAUUUAAGAUGCCAAGGAAAGAUAUCCAAUGGCUGUUAGAUAUGAGUGUGGAGUUUAGGGGAGAGGUCUGACAUGGAGAUAUGAAUUUGGGAAUUGUUUGCAAAAAGAUGGUAUUUAAAGCCAUGAGAACAGACAAGAACAAUAUCCAGUGUAAUGUUGAUAAAUUCAAUUUAAAAACAGAGAUUAGAUCCAAGAAUUGAAAUUUAGAGUUAAGAGUGGUAGGGAAUGCAAGCAGAGGAGGCAGGAAGAAGAUGGGGUGAGUACAAUAUCCAGGAAGCCAAACGAGGAAAGUGUUCAGAGAGGAGGGAGGGACUGACUAGGGUCGAGUGCUAUUGGAAAGUCAAGGAGGACGAGACGUGAGAAUGCAUCAUUGGGUUUAGUAGUGCAGAGGCUUGUGGUUUUCUUAUUAUAUGCAUUUAUGUGGGCAAUGGAGGAAAUAUAUGUAAGCCAUAAUAACUUUCUAGGAAGGCUGCCUUUCACUGAAGGGGAGUCCCUUUGGGUCAGCUGAUUCUGGGUGACUAUGUUCAAAAGUAUACCUGGAGCCGGAGGCAGUAGCAUCUGAGGUCAGCUGGACCCUUUCCAUGAUGGAGUGAAAAGAAUUUGGUUUGGGCAGUUUGUGUAGCCUAAACAGAAAGAAAUGAGGAAGAGGAUGAAAAGAAAAGGAGUACAAGAGGUUAUUGAAAUGAUCUGGGGGUUGUAAGAAAAAUGCCUAAUGGUUAGGGCCAAAGAGACUUGAAGGACAGGGUAUAUUAGGUACUGUAAAUACCUGAGAUAAUCAACUUACAAAGAGAAAAGAUUUAUUUUGACUCAUUGUUUUAGAGGUUGCAAUAUAUGAUCAGUUGGCCCCUUUGCUUUUGGUCCCGAUGAGGCAGUAUAUCGUUCUGAGAACACAUGGUAGCACAAAACAACUCACCCAUCAUGAGCCAGAGAGCAAAGAGAGUAAGUUGGGGCCUGGGGCCCCACUAUCCCCUUCAAGGUAUGCCCCAAGUUCUCCCACUGGACCCUGCCUCUUAAAGGUCUUACUGCUUCACAAUAUUGCCACACUGGGGACCAAGCCUUAACAUAUGGGCCUUUGGGAGCGUUCAACAUCUGAACCACAGUGUAGUGAAUUGCUAGGAUGAAAUCAUCUCACUUUGGCUAACUCUUCCAUCAAGUGUAUCACAUGCACCAAUAGCUUUUCUAAGUGUGAUUUUUGGGGAGGAGUAGAAACUGAGGGAUGAGUUGAAUGCCAUGCUUGAGUUGAUGUGCGAUAGACCAGGUGGAGAAUGUCUGGGAUGGAAGGAUGAUAUGUAAAUGAACUGAAAGCAGCAGGAACAAGAAUUUUGACCUGUAAAUGGUCAUGGGAGUGUUAAUCUCCCUGGACAUUUGCAGAGGGGGUUUGUGUUUCUCCAGUGUUGAGUGGAGGCUUCAGGUGAUCUUAUCUAGAUGAUAGUAUCCAGAAACAUCAGGGUUACAACUUUGAAAGUAGGAAGGCAUCAGUAUUUUAGGUAGCUUUUUCACUGCCAUGACCCCCCAAACCCGAGAAGAACAACAUAGAAGAGGAAAAGUUUAUUUUGGUUCACAGUUUCAGAGGUAUCAGUUGAUAGACAGCUGACUACUACAUUGCUCUGGGCAUGAGGUGAGGUGAGGCAGAAUAUCAUGGUGGAAGAAAGCAGCUCAGAACAUGGCCACCAGGAAGCAGAAAGAGAUCUGCAGACCAGGGACAAAAUAUAAACUCCAACGGCACAUCCCCAAUGGCUCACCUCCUCUAGGUAUUCCCUGCCUGUCUACAGUUACUACUCAGUUAAUCUCUAUCAGGGAUUAAUGCACAAAGAUUAGUUUAAAGCUCUCAUAACCCAAUCAUUUCACCUUUGAGCUUUCUUGCAUCGUCUCACACAUGAGAUUUUGCAGGACACCUCAUAUCUAAACCAUAAUAUCAGGAAUUGAAAGAACUCUCAGCAAAUGUUCCUUUCACUCCUCCAAUCUAGCCCUUUCCCAACCAAAUGUAAAAAUGACUCUCAAAACAGAUUAUUCAUUAACCACUAUGAUAAACUUCUUGAAGUGGUGCUAGAUACGGUACAGAAUAGUUGAGAUGGGGUGAAAAAGCUAAUGCAAGACAGGAUGAACUCAAAGGCUAAGUGGAAUGGUUGAGAUGAUUAAAGCUAUGGCUUACUUAGUUAAUUGAUGACUGGCAUGCUUUUGCGCUUCCAGGGGCACUGUACAAUAAUAAAGUACUUUCUCAAUAGGACAACAAAUUAUUCUAUGUAGGUAAGCUACAGCAAACAGCCCCCAAAUUUCAGAUGCUAUUCUAACAAGGAUUCCUUUCUUGUUCAUGGUUAAAACUAAUGUGGAUCAGUGGGGUUGGAGGGAGGGAUGCUGUGUUCCACACUGUCAUUUAGGGAUCCAGGCUUCUUGAUUCUAGUGGCUUCCUAUCCCCUCAGAUCUCAGACCCUUUGCUGAAUAUGCCACAUCUGAUUGUCCAACAAACAAAGAAAGAGUAGGUAGAAAGGAAGGCCAUGAUCAUAGUAGCCUCCAUUCAGUAGUGGCAUGCUACUUGCACACAUAAUGUCAGUGGUAAAGAUUGUUCAUAUGGCAUCAUUUUGGGAUAAGGGAGGUGGGAAAAAUGUGGUUUAGCUGAGAACUCAUGAAGGGAAACUGGGCUAGUAAGCAUUUAGAUUUUUUUAUUUAUGUAAAAUUAAUUUAUUUAUUUUAAUUAGGUAUAUAUGAUAGUGCAAUGCAUUUUGAUUCAUUGUACAUAGUUGCAGCACAACUUUUCAUUUCUCUGGUUGUGCACAAUGUAGCAUUGCACCAUAUGUGCAGUCAAACAUGUACCUAGGGUAAUAAUGUCCAUCUCAUUCCAUUGUCUUUCCUGCCCCCAUGUCCCUCCUCCUUCCCUCUCUCCCCUAAGCAUUUAAAUUUUAAAUAACCCCUGCAAUAGGCCAGGAGGGGGAAAGUAGCAUAAUUAUAUAGGAAACUUUUUAAAUUGAAUGUCAAAAUCAGGGUGCCUGAAAAAACACUUUAAUACAUUUCAUUUCAUAAGAGAAAAUUAAGAACACAAAUGAGAUGGCAAAGGCAUUAAAUCUACUUUACAGAUAGUGCUUGAUGUGAAAGAAUCCCACUUCCACUAACAUUUAGCACUUAUUUAUGACAUCAUUAUGUGCAUGUUUUGGUGGUAAAAGCAGCAUCUUCAAAGGGCUUCUUGCCCAAGUCGAGUCUGAAUUGAAUUUAUCAUCAGGAGAACAUCAGGGAAGCAGCAGCUCUGUAAGCCACUUUUGGAAGUUCUGGGGACCCUUUUCAUGUAAACUGUUUUAAGGAAAAUGGGACCUAUGGAUGUAAAAAUAGAAAGUGAGGCAAAAGGCAUGUUGUUUUCUCUGAUUUUUAGGGAAUGGAUCAACUGUUUAUUUCAAUUCAAAGGACAAACCCAGUGUUAGUAAUUGGAUAUAAAAUAAAUAAUUUCUUUUUUUUUUUUUUUUUGCUACUGAAGCCUGAACCCAGGGGCACUUUUCCAUUGAGCUGCAUCCCAAGACCUUUGCAUUUUUUAUUUUGAGACAGGGUCUCACUAAGUUGCUGAGGGUCUUGCUAAGUUGCUAAGUCUGCCCUCAAACCUGUUAUCCUCCUGUGUCAGCCUCCUGAAUUGCUGGGACUAUGGGCAUGCACCACUGUGCCUGGAAAUAAUUCUUAUUUUUAAUCCAACAGCAGUCAUUGUGAAUAACAUGCAGAUAAUAGGCUUUUGAAUUUGCAAACAUAGCAUGGUUAGUCAAACUUUGUUUUCCUCAAGCAAUAUAAUAUAGUAGUCUCCCCUUAUCCAUAGGAAAUAAGUUCCAAGUAUCAAACCCUGUACAUAUUAUGUUUUUCCUAUACAUACAUGCCUAUGAUAAAGUUUAAUUUAUAAAUUAGGCACAAUAAGAGAUCAACAACAAUAGUUAAUAAGACAAUAGAACAAUUAUACUAAAGUUGAAGUAUCACAUGUGGUCUCUCUUUUGAUCUUUAAGACAAGUCUGAGUCAAGACAAAUAUUAUUUUUUUUAGAUCACAGUUGCCUACAGGUAACUGAAACUGUGGGUUGGAGUGACCACUGUCCAGAUAUCUCCCCACAUUGGUAGUGAAGCGAGAGUAUUUGAGAAGAAGCAUGAGCAUUAUAAUAAGGUAAGUGAGCAAGAGAGGAAUUCUGUGGAGAGUUUUUAAACCAUACAUACUAUUUUCAAAAGAAUACUGACAUCUUGGGGUAAAAGCUUGUAGUUCUGUCGUGUACUAGUCACAUGCCAUUGCCUGAAAAGAUAUCACCAAUAUAGCCUUGAAAUAUGAGAAUUCCUUUAAUUAACAUCCUCGUGAACCUUAUCACCAGGUUCAAUGUGGUUUUUUUUCUUGAUAUACUCACUCUUUUGCCUGAGGCUGCCUACAGGAGGCCAUGCCCCAACUUUCCCAUAAAAAUGACUUCCACAUUCCACAUCCCAAUUACUCUGAAGGACCUACCCAAGAUGCCUAUAAAACCCUACUACAGUCUACACCACCUUCUAACUAAUAUUCUACAUGUGUUUUUGAUCAUUGAAUCAGAUUUUCAAAAGUCAGGAUAGUUUUCCACGUGGAGUUUGAGUAAACAUAUAAACCUUUGUUAUUUAUAUACAUGGUUCAAAAAAUAACACAUGAGGCCAAAGUUGUAGAAAAGGCUUUGGACUUAGAGUCAGAAGGGCUCACUUUUUGGUUCAGUCACAUUCUCAGAGUGAUACUGGGAAGGUUGGUUAAUCUUGUUGAGUCUCAAUUCUCUGAUUUAUAGUUACCCUCAGGGUUAUUGUGAAAUGUUGGUGAGUUAAUGCAGGCCAAGGGCUUACACAGUGAGGUGCUUAUGGUAGGCGCUCAGGAGAUGAACUUGCUCUUGCCUUUAUUAAAUGCCUUUAGGUACCAAAAAGGAAAACACAUUCAGGUCAAACUGUUCUUGGGAUUACUUCUGGUUAAAAGUGAUGAAAUCUUAAAUCUUAUGUUGAUUUGUAAGAUGAUAAAUGUUUUGGCUUAUUUAAAAAUCCCAGAAGUGAGACAUCAGGGUGGUUCCAUCCAGGGGUUCAGAAUGUCAUCGAGGUUGCAGGUCCACUUUGCUGGGAUUCUCUUGGUUCUGCCCUUCUGGUUUUGGCUUCAUCCUUGGGUUGGCUUUUUUUUUGUCAUGUGAUUGCCAUCUGCUCCAGGGCCAUGGUUUCCUCACUGACACACUGCAGGGAAGAUAGUUUCUCCUGCCCCAGAUGCCCAACAAUCACUAUGGAGUCCCCUCUGGUUGAACCAUUUGAGGUCAUGGGCUCAUCCUUAAACCCAUCACUAUGACUAGGGAAAUCUGAUUCCUUGAUUGGCUUAGGCCUAUCAGGGCUAACCUUUGUGGCUAGAGAGUGGAGUUAAAAUUUCUCAAAUCACAAAGCUGGGGAAUUUCUUGUCUUAUUAGAAAUGGGGGGAGGAAUGAAAACUGAGGAGACAAUCCACUGGAAAAGCUACUCCUCUGGUAUCUUACCAUACCACAUACUGCCUUCUUGCCAAACACAUAUCUUUAAAAGUUCAUACUUACCUGAACCUCAUACAUCUCUUCUUCAAGGGAUUGUGGCUGAUCUGUCUUCCUCUAGUUAAGUUUCCAGAUGUAGCUGUUCACAAUCUGGUAAGUUAGAACUAAAUAUUAUUACCCACUGCUUGGAAGAGCCUGAAAAUUAUGCCUCAUUAUCCAUUCUUUCUUUCAUAGUAGAACUCCUGAGGUGUAGCUGGGCAUAUGCUACCCAGUUAGAUGCUACAUGUGUCACCCUCCUUUGCAUCUGCUCCUUAAGUAGUUGUGGCCAUGAUUGAAUUCUCAACAAAGGGAGGUGACCAAAAGGCACACAUGCAACCUCCCAAUUGCACCCUUAAAAUAUAUUAUUUGUCCUUUAUUUCCUCUCUGUCCCACUCCCGGGGAGUGAGAAUGCCCUUGCCUUGUGGUGCUGAGCUUGCCAGACAGAGGAUCACAUUAACCAGGGCAGUGGUUCUCAGAGUGGUCUUGGACCAGAAGCUCAGGGAAAGUAUUAGCAAUGCAUAUUUUGGGUCCCACCCAGACCUACUGAGUUAGAAACUAUAGCAUUGGGAGCCCAGAAACCUCUGUUUCAACAAAAUCUCCAGGACAUUCUAAUACAUAGUUCAGUUAGAGAACCACUUUCAGGGGUGACUUGUUGCUUCAUACCUCUCAAUAUUUGGCAGUAUUUUCAGUUGUCACAAUGUAACUGGAGGGGAAGUGGUGCUGUGGGCAUCAAGGGAGGAGGGGAUCAGUACACUGAAAUAUUCUACAAGGCAUUAUAUAGCCCCCCUAUGAUAAGAUUUACAUGAUCUCAGAAGUAAAUAAUGUUCAGUUUCAAAAAUCCAUAUCUAAGGGCUGGUGGGAUAAUGAAAUACAUCUGGAUUCCCUGGCCAAUCUAUAGAGAACUGUCCACUUGUCUUGGUCUGUCCUCCAAAAUGGCAGCCACCAGCCACAUAUGGUCAUUGAGCGCUUGCAGUGGCUAAUUUGAAUUGAGAUGGGCUAUAGAUUAGUACAAAAAAAGUAAAAUACUUCAAUAAUAUUUUAUAUUAAUUGCAUGUUGAAAUGAUAUUUGGGACAUACUAAUUUAAAUGAGAUGUAUUGUUAAAUUAAUCUCAUCUAUUUUUGAAUGUGGAUACUAGAGAAUUUGAAAUUACACUCGAAUUUACAUUUCUUUAGCAGAGUGUUGCUCUAGACUGUUACAUGAAAGAGAAACUCCUGACUUUGAGCCACUGUGUUUUUAGAUCUUUCCAUUGCAGUGGACAAGCCUGUACCACUUUCUAUUAAAAAACCUGUAAAUAUAGAAUGAUAGAAUGGUGGAGGAGAACUUCAAGGAAAUUUUGUUCGAAAAAAUGAACAGUGAGUUAAUACACAUUGGCCAUUGUUUGACUGCAUAUGUCACAUCCUGCUUGACAAGAACAGUCAAGUGUCCUUGUCAUGGCAAUGCAAUGGGAAUGAAUUCUUUAGCCAGUCAAAUCCUAGUUGUACUUUCUGGAAGGAUCUCCUUUGUCCGUUGUCCUUGGCCAUCUGAGAUGGAAUUGGUGCAUAAGCCCUUUCUGAAAUCUGUAUUUAUUUGGAGCCCAGUAUUUUUUUUUUUUUUUUGGUGCAAAUUUGGGGGCCUGGGAAGUGCCUCAGGGGUUGAGUAAUCACAGGCUGUUCUCAGCUAGGCUUGGGUUUCUUAGGCUGAAUCAAAUUCCUUAAGAACUUAGAAGGCUCCUGUCUAUUUUCCUCCCAUCAAUUCCAUGAGUUGAUAAUCAAAGCCAGAGUUCUUGUCUAGCCAUCUCUGAGUCUGGGAAUUCCUGUCUCUUAGCAACAGGCUUCAGUGCUCUGCUCUACACUGCCAAGAUAGCCAGGGAUGGACACUUGGCCAAAAUUCACCCACCCAUUGAAUGCUCUCCUGAAGGGCAGCCAACCCAGGACUGCUGCCCUAGAGAGGACUGGGCAUUUUGAGGGAGCAGAUUGCUGGAUCCUCACUUUGACUGUCCAUUCUAGGCUUAUGAGAAAGCAGUUGAUCAGCAGUGGCAGAAGCAGGGGCAGUAGGAGUUGAGAUGUGGUGGGGUCACUGUAAUGACUGACCACUUGAAUGGGAGCAGUGGUUCUGGGCUGCCAAGAGACCGCAAAGUCAACAGUUGUUUCUCUCUUAAAUGAGGAUUUGUUUUCUAAAUAUGGUUAUGUGACCAGGGUGGUGGUUUUCAUAGCUGAGAGCAGGGUGAACUAUUUAUGUAAGAAAUCCCAUCUAAGAACUCUCUUCUUGACCUACACAAUACCGCUCUAAGUGUGGAUCCCAGCUGGUCAUGGACCCCUGCAGUCUGCAUGCAGUGUACCUCAUUCUAGUGGGCGCUGGCUGGUCACUCUAAGUUCCCUGCUCUUUGAAAUGGACAGAAUAAAAUCCCCUCUUAGAUUUGUAAGUAGAUUUUUCUGGCAGAAUAAUGAGCCCCUCUUGCCAUUAAUCUUAAUAGGUUGGGGGGGGGUAACAAAAUCCAUUUUCCCAAGGUCAGGAUUAUUCUUAAGUGGACUUUGGGAAACAAUUUAACCUUUUUUGUCACUCAGACUGAAGAAUUAAAAUGCAUUUCUGGAAUUUUUUUCUGGGGUUACCAGGAAGCCAGAGUGAGGCGUGACUGCCUUUGUGUAUUUUUCUUUAUAAAAACUUUGAUGUCAAGGGACAUGGGCCCUUCUUAGCUCUGGUUUGUGUUUGUAUCUCCAUGUUUUGUGCACAUUCCCCAGUGGGUACUUCUAGGAAAAAAGAAGUAGCGUAAUUAUGGACCAAGGAAAAUAAAAUGGUUUUAUGAAGAAAACAGAUCAAAACUGAACAAAACAGGAACAACCGUGACCCUGGGAUUCUACCCUCUUACAGCCCAGGCCGCUGGGUCACCGGCUCUGUAUCAGAUUCUCAGACUAAAUUCUUCUAAUGUGAAACAGUGGGUGGCAACCAAACUCCCUAUUUUCUCCCAGGUAUGGUGACAUAGUAGGAGGUGUCACUUUGAAUAUGCCCACAUGAGGAAGAGAGAUGACAGAUUCAGCUGCUGCAUGACUCAAAGAUCCAGGAAAUGCAUACAAAACAUGGUGUCAUUUAGAUUUAAAAUAAGGAUACUUGAAUGUUCAGUGUUACUUGCAAUAAAUAUAUUAGAUUGAAGACUCAGUUUUGAACCUAACCAUAACUGGACUUUUAACUAUCUAGUUUAAAUGACUGGUAACAUGAAGCAUUUCAUAAUUUCUGGUUCAUUAGUUGUGAUCAGAUCCUGAUUAACAUUCCAGGGCCUGGCUUUAGCCAACCUACAUAGAAAAUUUGAAGUGAGAACACCUUUUUGGGGGUGGUGGUGGUGGUGGCCUGUGUCUUUAGUGAUGCGUGUGUUAUGUUGUAGUUUGUGUUGUAUUUUAGACAAGUAGAGGUUAUCUAUAUUUUCUUUGAUAUUAACUGGGCAGAUUUUCCUGGUCCAAAGAUGGUUUCUGUAUGUAAUGCAAAGGAAAAGUCUUCUCUAGGUGGGAAGGUUCUUAUGAACUGAUCAGUCAAGGCUAAAAGCUAAACUCCAUUUCUCAAUUUUAGUGUCUGAGUGAGACCUGAAACUCCCUGUUGCUCCUGGUCUGAAAAACCUACACUGAACACAGCCCAGUCCUCCCACCAGAAUCUAAGCUACUUCUUUGGAACCCGUUGCCCAUUUCAGGGAAAGCUGGUAAGUUUUUUUCUUAAACUCCAACUCACCAAGAGGUGAUGUAUCCAAAUGACUUGAAGGAAAAACAUCAAAAGGAUUCUAAUAUUCCAUCCAGAAACAUCUGACGGACAGGGUCAUCCCAGGUGGGGUUUCUCUGAGCAGCAGUGAUUAAAGUGGGGAACCUGGUCUGGGGAGAGAUAAGUAUCACCCAAGGCUGACAUUGCCUCCGGACUCACAGCCCUGGCAGGCGGAAGAAAGUGAUCUUUGAUGCAACUAAAAAACACUGUCUUUUGAAACAGAGUAAGUAGCUCUCUGUCUUCAGUCUGUGGGCUCACAGUGAGUCACUUACCCAGAGUCAAUCACAGCAGGAAGGGUCCUGGGGCAUAUGAUUUUUGUAUCUCUGUUCCUGAGUUUCAAACUUCCUCUGAAUGCUUAUUUCUGCAAGAUUGGCAGUUUGAUCUUGGGUGCCACUGGAAUUCUUUUAGUCUAGAAAGAGUAUGUACAAGAGGUUCAAUACCUUUCCUGAGAUUUUCACCUGUACUAGGCUGCGCUUAGCUGGUGCUGCUGAAGAUGAGGAUGCUCAUGCACUGUGACCUUUCUGUGCUUGACUCCGUCCAUAUUCAACAUCACCAUACAUUGAUUCAGUUCUAUUUCUGUGGACACUAUGCUUACUAAAAUCUCCAUCACCUCUAACCUGAAAAGUCACAAUAAUCUCAUAAUUCGUCCCUAAUAUCUGUCCUUAUUUCUGUCCAAAUACUUUCUUUAUUCUGGUGUCAGAUAAUCUUUCUAGGUUGCAAAUCUGAUCAUAUAACAUCUUUCUUUAAAACACUUAAAGCCCCAGCAGCUCGGGAGGCUGAGGCAGGAUAUUAUGAGUUCAAAGCCAGCCUCAGCAACUUAUCAAGGUCCUAAGCGACUCAGCAAGACCCUGUCUCUAAAUAAAAUACAAAAUAGGGCUGGGGAUGUGGCUCGAUGGUUAAGCACCCCUGGGUUCAAUCCUCGGUACCAAAAAAAAAAAAGAAAAAGAAAGUAAGUAAAAAUAAAAAGGAACAUUUAAAUAGCUUCCCAUUGCCCUCUGGGUAAAGCCCCAAAUUCCAAAAUUCCUGUGAUGGACUUUAAGUUCUGCUUAAUGGAGUCCUUCCCUUUCCUUUCCUCUCUUUCUGGUCCCCACUAUCUCUGUUGCCACUUUGUUCAGUGGUGGUCUUUCCUCUCAUGCCACACUUUCCUGAGAGCAGAGUCUGGGAAUAACUUGCUCACUGAGGUAGCCCUAGUGUGGUCCUGGGUUUGCUGAGUAGAAGAAAUGAAUAAAUGAAAGAAUAACUGCAGGGCCAAAGGCCAAGAAUCAAGUAAUGACUAAAUCAAUUUCAGGACUGGGUCCCUGCCUUCUGUUAUCUAAUAGACGGCUAAAAUCUAGAAAGUUAAAGACUUAAGCUUGUUAGGACUGAAUGCAGAUGAAAGGAAUUGGUGUAUCUGACUGGUCAUGGAACAAUACAUUGAAUACAAUUAAAACAAAGUGAAAAUUGGAUAUUUAAGUUCAAUGUCUACUAGCACUUAUUUUUCUUCUGGUCUAAAAUAUUUAGGUAGGGAUGUUGACUCCAAGAUAAAUGGGUAUAGGAGCGGGCAGAUGUUGUCAGGACACACUUCAUCUCUGCACAGGGUUUGAUAAUCUGCAAAUGUACUUAGGCUCAAUAGGAUGGGCAUCUCUGUUCUCAUGUGUGCCUUUGUAUGCUUAUGUGGCUUUUGCAUUUGUCACUGGAAAGCUUUUCUGUUGAAUGACAUGUCUUUGCUCUUGCACCCAUAUCAUUUUGGGAAAAAGAGAGAUGAAGAGCCUUGUUUAGCUGGAUGACAUUUCUUCCUUAGAGGAGUUGGGGCAAGUGUCCUUGAUGUCUGACUAGUUCGUUAUAAGUUCCAAUAGGAGCAAGAUGUGAGUGGUACAGGUAGAAGAUUUCAUGCCCAAAUAAGAUUUUUUUUUUAAUGGAAUGCCUACAAUAAACUUCCAUGCUUCAAAGAAUCUAUAUGAGUGAUAUGUGGAAGGAAGACUUUCCCCCCAUUUAUGCAGCAUUAGCUAAAGUCAGAUACAUAUCUCACUUUUAUCAAAGUAGCUAAAUUAUAUAGCUACAUUUAGACAAUUUACUUAGGGAGACAGGAAAUUCCAUCUACCAUCACCUUCCAUAACAUUAGUAAUGACAUAUGACUGUUAUCUUCCAAUUAAUGAGAAUCAGAGCAUUAUAAGCCUUUGACACUUCCAUUCCAGAAAUAUAGUUCCUCUUAAGUUGGCCCUCAGUGAAUAUGCAGUUUGAAUUACCCAUAGACUGCUAACUUUUCAUCCUACCCACAGCAGAUGAAUGGGAAGAAGAGACUGCUCAGCUUUAGGUAGAAGAAAGAAGAGUACUUUUCUUUCUCUACCCUCUGAUGAAUUAGUAUGCCAGUGUGAGUAAACAUGUAUCAGAGACUGUUUGUUGCCUAUCCCAACAUCUGUUCUCUCUUCCAUCUUAAUAAAAGAAUGUGAUAUUUAGGUAGGUAUAUUGACUCCAAGAUAAACUGGUAUAUUUUCAUAAAUGUUUGUAGCUAUAUAUGGUCUAACAAUUAGUUUUUAGUCAACAAGCAAAGCAUUUUUGAGACUUCUAGGAAGUUUCCUUAAAGGUGAGAGAAUGUGCCUUUAUUUUCCCCCCUUUCUUCAUUCUGUUGCCUGGAACUCACAUGUGGUGGCUGGGGCUGCAGCAAAUGUUUUAGGCCAUAAGGACUAGAAGGAGGAAAACUUGGAGUCUGAGUCCUCGAUAUAGGUCAGAUCUGGCUGACAUCUUUCCAGUCUUCUUUUACAUGAGAGCUAAUUCAUCUUGUUUAAGCCACUGUGUCUGUGUUAUACGUAGCCAAAUUGAAUGCUAACAGUUAUACUGUAAACAAGGAAAGAGUGGGUGGAUUGAGUUCUUGGCACCUAGUGUCUGACAUUUCCUUGGAGCACAUUUUUUUCCCCUACUGGGCAACACACCAAUUCUAUAUGAGGCAGACACUCCUCAGACUGGGGUCAAAGUGACAAAUGGCAGGGUUUGUUUGAUUGGAUUCUGUACAAGGGUCCAUAGGGAUCUGGGCUUUCCAUACUAGUCCAGAGGCAUGGUCUUGUUACCACUAAAAGAAUGCACAAAGAGGGGAAGUACACUUUGGGCAUUUCACAGUCCUUGCUCUAGGUUCGCUAGUGCUUUAAAAAAAGAUUCUCCUCUUUUAAAAUUCAGUUAGGGUGCCUAGUGUGCUAGAUCUGGUUUGUACUAGAUUAUGGGAGUUGAUUGUGGUCUCUUCCCACCUCAGUGCUCAGUGAUGACAUGUCAGUAGUUUGAAAUUCACCUUGAUGGGAGUACAUACUAUGGAAAUUGGCAAAUGCUAAAAAUCUGUUGUCAUUUGUCACUGUUUUUAAAAGAGAUCCUGCCUACUAGUAGAUCACUGGCUAAUAAUAGACUAUUAUUUCUAAAAAAUCUUCCUCUUUCUCAUUGAACUAUCAAAAGUCUGGGACAUAAUAAUUAUAUAGAUAUGAGUUUUCUGAGCUACAAAUGCUUUUCCUGACAUUUUAUCAUUUGAGCAUUUCAACAACAGCUGGGGCAAGUCUUAUUAUCCCCCUUGCACACGAAGGGGCUGAAAUUUAUAUAUAUAUAAAUGAAUGAGGAGUGAAAUGGGGGUCAAAAGUCAAUGUUACUGUUUCUGAGUCCUGAUAAUUAGAGUAGAAUUAAUUGAUUUUCCCUGGGAACACAGGAUGGUAAAGAUUAGGAGAAUCCAGUUCCAAAACAAAAGAAGAGAGUGAUAUUUUUUUCAUCUUCAAUGUGACUUUUUUUUUCUAAAGCAGGCCACUUAAAAGAUAGUAUACAAGGAAUAAAUUUGAGAGCUUAGAAAAUAGUACAGUACUAUUCUGUAAUUUCUAGCACAGAACUGCAUUAUUUUUAAGCAUUGUAGGAACCAGUUUGCUACUGAGGAAACGCUAGGAGUUUUGGAAUGAAAUGCCUGGUGCCAAAUUUGGCAUUCUUGUUUUACUGCUGUAUGAAUUAAGGCAAAUCACUUCACCUCUGUGUGCAUUAGGUUUUCACCAUAAAAUGGGUAUAAUAAUGACCUCUCAGGGUUAUUAUGAGGAUUAAAUAAGAUAAAUGUGUAAGGAACGUAACAAAAAAAUACGUAUGCAAAGUCAUGUACCUUUGGCUUUUAGACCUUGAGUCCUAAUCAUAAAGUAUUUCCUGAGCUGCAAUUAAUACCAACAUUUUUUUUCUCAGAAUAAGUCAAAGUGUCUCUAACCUAAAGCUCUCUAUAUUAUAAAUGCUCUGAAGAGUCUUCUGGUAUUCAAAGCCAGGACCAGUAUUACAGGUUUGGGAGGGGAACAGAGUCCAGAGGAGAAUUUCCUUAGAAAAGACCAUCAGUUUUUAAUUUUGCUCUCUGUUUGUAGUACAUUCCAUGCUGGCUUCUGAGACAAAACCAAAUUUGGCAGUGGCAGGCAAUCAUAGAAUUUUCAUGUAAUUCAAUAAUUUAUCACAAAGAAUAUUCAUUUAUAAACAAUGACUUGUUUUGGAAUGAUAGCAGCUGUCAGUUUGGAGGCCUAGCUUCUCCCCACUGGGACAGGAGUCUGGCUUUCCCCUUUGUUAAAUCAUGCAGGGUCGCUGGGUUUGGAAUCUGAGGCUGAAUGCACUUUACAAUGUGUUUAUGUUUUGGUAUGUGCAUUAUUUCAUUUUUUACUUUGUGGUCAUGAAAUCCAUGUUGCCAGAUGCCGAAAGUGCCUCUGUUUGUGGAGAGGAAAUAAUCAAGCUCUGAGCUUCAACUGCACCUGAAAACACUUGGACCAAGAAGUGCAAGUGUAACCCUCUACCAUGACAGACACAGACGUCCUGGUGCUUCUCUGUGUCAUCACUUAGAUUUGCCUAACCAAGAAAGAAUCCUGGAUCCUUUGCUUUUGGAAAAUCUAUUGCCAGAAUGAUUUGUAUAUCUGAAAGUUAUGAUUAUUUCUGUCCAGUGUCUUGAGAAAUUCAGUGUUUUGAGUUCCAGAGAAGAUCUGCCUGCUUGCUGGGAAGACAGCAUCCAGUGUCCUGUGAAACCACUUGGUACCUUGUACCACUUCUUUACAACUUCCAUUUUACCAAGAGCCAACGGUCUCUGGCUCCUCUUAGAGUUCUCCAGGCUUUCAUGAGAGUUUGGAGAGCUAUUGAGUAAAUAAAAAGGAGAACUUGCCCAAGUCAUGAGUAUCCUUCAUAUUCAGCGUCCAUUUCCACCUUCUGUGAUCGCACAUCUACUCACAAGUUAGCCUUUACAGUUCAGCCCUGUUCACUCUCAGUGGCCACUUGAUAACUGUAGCUAAUUAGAGGUCCUAUGACAUGGUCCACUGAAUUGAUUGGAGGUCAAAUAGUGUCCUGCUCCUCUCACCCCACCAAAUAUGUUGAAUUCCUUACUAUCAGGGCCUGUGAAUGUGACCUUAUUUGGAAAUAGGAUCUUUGAAUAUGAAAUUAAGCUAAGGUGAGGUCAUUAGGGUGGGCCCUAAUCCAGCAUGACCAGUGUCAUCAUUAAGAAGAGGGAAAAUUUGACACAGCACACAAGGAGAACACCAUUAAUGGUAGAAGCAGAGACUGGAGUGAUACACUUGCAAGAAAUGCCAUGCAUUGAUAGCCACCUUGAGAAGUGAGAAAGAAACAAGAAAAACUUUUCCUCCACAGGUUUCUAAGAGAGGCUUUGAUCCUGUAGAUACCUUGAUUUCCAACUUAGCAUCUAGAAUAUGAGGCAAUACAUUCUGUUGUUUUCAGGCACCCCACUUCUGGUACCAAAACCUGUAUUAAUUUCCUAGGGCUAUGGUAACAAAGUGCCACAAACUGGGUGUCUUGAGUUUUUCUGAGGUGGAACUGUAUCUUAGGGAUCAGAAAGCCCAAGAGAAUUCUGUAGAUCAUGUUCUUCCAUCCUUUAAACACAUCUCCCUCUGUCUGCUCUUUUCCCCUUAGCAUCUCAUGAUGCUCUUUCCUACUCUCUGUGGCUGGCACUCUGAGAGGGACAUUUCCACUCUAGGCUAAGGUGCUCUGACUCCUAGCUUCCUGUCUCCACCAAGGGCUCCUAGCCCUGUGUCUGAUUUCAUCACACACUGGCUCCCUGCCAAUGAGUAGCAAUCACUAAUAGGAAAAAUAAAAUUCCUAGUGGGUUGACUUCUCUGCUAUUCCUUCCAAGGGUUGCUCUACCUUAAAACAAAUAUCUUCUUAGGAAUUUUCUUAGGAAGUAUAAAUAGAGUCUCUAAAACUCUGUGAUAGGACAGCGGGGAGGAGAUUAUUGGGAGGUGCUGAAGAUCCUUUUUGAUACAGACUUAGUCCUAGGUUUUUGUUUCUAUUUUAUAAAUAAGAAGAUAAGUCAGGGAAGAAAAAGCCACUUACCCAAAUUCUCUCUCUUAUUAGUAAUGCUGCUUUUGCCAAAACAGAGUUUUGAAUUUUAUAGGAAGGGCUCUCCCUUGCAGUCUUGAAAUCAUAUGUGGCUUCUAGUAAGCACACCCUCUUAAGGGGUUGUUCUUUGUUAACAGAAUAGACCUUAUACUUGUGAAUGUUCACCUUUCCUUCAAGGAGCUUCACAUAAGUUGAAAAUUUGGGUGACACUAAGCCAGCUCCUCGCAUCAUUUCCUUCCCCUUGGUUGGAGAGCACUGGGCCAUCUUCACAUUCACACAUUCUGUGUGCAAUGAAUGGUCCGUGAGAACUUCAUGGCACAGUGAGGCAUGUGGUAAAUUUCCACUCCUGUUUCUCCUUAAAUAUAAACUUCCAGCUGUAUUUUCCCCUCCUCAAGUUUUGACUUAAUUUAAAAAUGUUGGAUUGAAGUAAGUAAUCAAGACACUUUAAAGUGAGGAUAGGGAGAGUGGGGGUGGAGAGAGAGAGAGAGAGAGAAGAGAGGGUGGGAGGGGAGAUAAAGAAUAUCUGGAAGCCUGAAGAAUGUGGCACAUUUGAAAACUGAUAAGCUGCUGUAGUGUUACCAGACCUCAUGGUUUAUAACAGUCUCACCACAUUUAUGGUUAAAGACAUAUGCAACAUUUGGGUCUGUGUUUGUGGCUCAGUAGUAGAGUGCUCACCUAGCAUGCAUGAGGCACUGGGUUUGAUCCUUAGCACCCACAUAAAAAUAAACUAAAGAUAUUGUAUCCACUUAAAACUAAAAAAAUAAAUAUAUGUAUUUUAAAAAGAUCUUUGUACUUCUUAUACAGGCAUAGCACUCUCACAUUCCAGGGUAGACUAGGGACACAGCACUUGGGACUUGAACCUGGGGCCACUGAACCUUUGCCUGCACCAAGUUCCACAUGUGGGGACACAGUUGGGUUGACAUUACCAUGAGGCACCUACUUUAAGUAGCUGCCGAGUCUAAAGCUGUAGGAUAUCCAGGAAACAUGAGAAGUUGGAAUGAAUUCAGAAGAAGGAAUCGAGGAACUCCUGAACUCGGAUCACACUGAAGGAAGAGUCAGAUGAACCACCAUUUACAGAUGUUCUUUGCACUUACGGAUGCCCCCUUUGCAUCUUGUGCUCAGCUUGACAUGUAUUGUCUCAUUUAAUACAUGAGAACAACUCUGAGAUGUUUUCUAUUAUUAGCUUCUUCAUUUUUUUUAAUAGAUGAAGGAAUUGAGUUUUAGAACUUAGCACAGUGCCUGGCCCAUAGCUUACCUUUAAUAAAUACAUGUUGACUAUAUGACAGAGGUAAAACAUGUGCUUCAAUUCACAUAGUAGUUGAUUGAGGCCACACUAAUACAUAUACACUUUGUGUACUGCUUUCAAUUAUGCAAACCAAUAUACUCCAAAUAUAUUAAAAUGGCAAAACUGGAGCUAGACUUGCCUAGGUGUAAGCCAGGAAUCCAAAAAUAGUAGUACUGAAAUACUGAUUUUUGGCAGAGUAGAAGAAAGAGGUUUUGAGUUGACUGAGGUUAGAGAUUAGGACCAUCCAGGUAUGGAUGUGAAGAGGCAGGAAGUCUCCCUGGGGCAGCCUUGAACCUCUAAUAGGAGCCCUAGGGUGUGGAUGAGGUAUGCUGGUGGGAGGGUGGGGGUGUUCUGGGACCUUCAGGGUAGAACAUAAGGAAUGAAUUAGCUGAGUAAGGGCGACUCUGGACCAGCCAAUGUCAAUGGAUCAGUGAUAACAAUCUUGGUUUCUUUCUUCUUUUGCUUGGAGAAAACUGCUAUGGGCUACAUGUUAAUGGAUAAUUCUUCCAUCCUAGAUCCUAUUUUAGAAUUACAAGGGCAGUCAGGGCAACAGAAGUCUGAAUCCAAGGGGAUUAUAUCACAUCAGUCAAUCUGAAGAUGACCACUUCAGAGUUUGGAAACAGUUUGUGUCAUCAUAAGUAAACGUGGCCCUCCAAAAAGCAGCUGCUGCUUGAGUUGAUGGAAAAAAUAUCGUGAGAAGGAAAAUGUGAGCCAUGUGCCUAUGCCCUGCCCAGUGGCCUUCCCCAUCUGAGGAAUGGCCUGCUCUUUGAAAGAGUAGAAGUGAGGAGUUUGCAUGCAGACCCUGAAUGCUAUGUGCCAUGGGAAUGUGCAGUUGGCCACUUCUUCAGGCAGGGAGCUUAGGUUCAGAGAGCUUGCAGUCUGGUGGAUGCUUCCUGGUGUAAGUUCUGUCCAUUGAUAAGAAAUGAACCCCCGAACCAUAGUACCUUUCAGCUGUGGUCCCAUAGAUCAAUAAAGCUCUCUGAUCUUCCACAAUCCAAACAGGUAAUGGAGUGGAGCUUCACAAUGAAUUGUUUCUUAUUCAUUGCUUACAACAGGGUAUCAUAUAAAAAGACAAAAGAAACCUACCAGAUCUUUCUAUUAGAUAGCAUUGACUGCCUAUCCAGCAUUCAUUCUCUUCUUCCUUCACAAUGAUAUUUCAGUUUUCUUGGUAUGAUUUAGGGGAAGUUGCCCAAUUUCUUGUUUCAGAGGUGGGACUUAAUUAAUCCAAGCUAACCAUGGGAAUCUAGUCUUUGUGUCAGUGGAUGUUUCAGGAAUGGGCAUCUGGCCUGAUUGUGGUGGAGGAGAGGGUUGCUGGAGACCUCGGGACUAGUUCUUCCUUGUCUUUAAGAGAAAAGGUCUGAAGUCAGUGUCUCCUUUCAAGGAAUGGGAAUAAGGAAGAGUGAUUCCCUACCUUUGGCUGCUGGCUGCCACCUUAUGGCCAGAGGGGGAUUCAGAUUCAGGAUGCAACAAACAAAUGAAAGACACCAGAGAUUCACAGAGAAAUGGAGCUCGGAAUGAACCAGGAACAGAGUCCAUUGCCCUCUGGAUUUGCAGCUACUUGGCCAAUACAAAUCCUUGAUGUUUUAGGUAGUUUGAGUUGCAUUUCUGCUCCUUGCAGUUAAAAGCUUUUGGACUGAUAAAUCCUAAAAAUGAGGGGAGGUAGGAGAGUGGAGAAAAAUGGUAGUUAGCAAUUACCUGGGGAAGUGACAGAUAAGGCAAACUUCACCUUGAAUAGCGUGGCUAGGUCAUUUGGGGUUUGUAUCCACCUUACCUUAUAUUUUUAUUUAUUAGUGGAUAUAAGUGAAAGGAAGAAUGACAGGCGUCAAAGUUCUUUUGCUCAAUGGAUCAUAGCCAAAGAUUUUUCCAAGUGUAGAAGUACAGCCUCUGUGUCAAGGUCAGAUGGUGGUAAGAAACAGAGGUGAUGAGCACAUGCUGGAAGAAGACAGAAGAAAUGGCCCUGCCUGUCGGCCUGGACAGUUAUGAGGCAUCCCCCUCAUUUGGAUGUGUAAUGAAGCCUCAGUCUGCAAUGCAGAUUUGCAUAGCUAUCCAGAGAAGGGGGUUUUUGUUUUUGUUUUUGGGUACCAGAAAUUGAAAUCAGGGCACUCGGCCACUGAUCCACAUCCCCAGCCCUAUUUUGUAUUUUACUUAGAGACAGGGUCUCACUGAAUUGCUUAAAAUCUCACCACUGCUGAGGCUGGCUUUGAACUCACGAUCCUCCUGCCUCAGGGUCCUGAGCCGCUGGGAUUACAGGUGUGUGCCACCACUCCUGGCUGAGAAUGGGAGUUUCAAAAAUUUUAAAAAUGUCCCUGCAGAGAGCUCUUCCUUAUCUCUCUUGAAGAUAAGUAUUUUGGGUUAUAAGUGGAAUUUGGGGAGCAUUGAACUCUCAGUUCUCCAUAUUGACUGUCAUGUUUGAUCUUUGGGUCCAGAUCAUGACCAUAACAUGUAUUUGCAAGAUACUGUAUGAGUAUGGAGUGGGGGUGGAUUUAAGAAACCCCCCAGGUUGUGGUAAUGAGGUAUUGUAGGUCUGAGUAAUCUGAGUACAUAGAUUGAACAUGGAGCCAUGUUGCUGCCUCAUUAGCACUAUGCUGAGUGCCAUCUGCAAAGUCUUGGGUGUUUUCCCAGAUCUCUUCUCAGACACAGUUGUGGCAAUGCCUCACAGAACCAGUAACUCAUUUUCUACAACCAACUGACUGAUCAACCAUAUGCACGAUCAACCACACACACAGACACACACAUAUGCGGAUGAAGGGAGGGAGAGGCAAAGAGAAGAGAACUACCAUAAUGUCGGUGCUGUCUCAGUGUGCCUUAUUAAAAGAUCCUGCUGUAUAGAAAGGCCACUUUGGCCACUCUGGCCACUCAAACUCUUAAUUAUCCUUUUCUGUGAGUCUGCUUUACAUAAUAUGAACAGUUAAAAUAGAAGAAUAGCAAAACGAAAGAAAAAAGAACAGUAAAAUAGAAUCCCUCUACAUUAAAAAGUGACAAAGAGCACCUCAAUGAUAUGUACUGAGACCUGGGGUGUAGAGAUCUCCAACUGUUUUCUGCUACAGUGUGCAUGAUGGAUGAUGUUCACAGGCAGAACACAUUUCCACAAAUGUACCCAUUGGGUCUCUAUCUGUGAUUCUAGGAGUCAUCGAGUAAUACGAACCCUUUCACUCCAACCCAAUAAGGCAUAUCAGGGAAUGCAGUGGUUUAAAACAAUAUUAUUAUUAUUAUUAUUAUUAUUAUUAUUAUUAUUAUAUAUUAUAUAUACUACUUCUGAAAUUUAUUUGUUUUUGUGGUGCUGGGGAUUGAAACUCAUGUUAUUUAAAAAAGUGAGCCACCCGUAAGCUUUUAUUAUUAAUAACAAAUCAGAUAUGUCACAGAAUUCAGGUAUGUCCCUGUACCAUCACCAUGGUGAGAACUGUCACUCUAACAUGUACUCAGGACUCUGGUCUUUCGGGGAUGCUGUUGUGGCUUAUGUCACCCCAUUGUCUGUGAAGUUGACAGUGCUAUGCUUGGUUUGAAGUCUUUUCCUUAGGAACUCUAACAUGUUAGCCCAAUAAUCUCAUGUCACUCUACACAUGUAACUUUGUGUUACUUUCCCCCACCUAUUUAUAUGUUUCAGGUCUUUAUACAAAGCUAUGAAGAAAUGGGUUAGUCUGAGUCUAUGGGAAAAGAAAAUUUAUCAUGGAAAAGUGGGCAUGUAGAUACAAUUGAUUCCACCAUGUUAAACAUUGUGAGAAGUGGCAGGAUGCUGAACAACUAAGAUUUCAAUAGACUUUUUUUUUCUUUGUAAAGCUAGUUUUGAGUUUCAAUUCAGAUUUAGAUAGCUCUAUAGUUUCUUGAGUAAUGGGCAGGGCAAAGUAGUUACCAUUUGGCAUGGCAACUCUUAUCUGGGCUACCAGGGCAGAUUUAGGUGGCCCAGAGGUGUAUGUGGGUUCCAAUUUGGGGAGGCUCUGCAUGGCCUUGCAUUAUGCCAAUGUCUGCCACACUGCAGUGGCAGUGAUUACUUUCCUCCCUUGUUCACAUUGUCAGUAAACCUGCCCUUGUGGUUGCCAACAUACUUCGCCCUGAAUGGGAAUACAGUGCUAGGAGAGCUUCCAGAACUUGAGUUCUUCCCCCUGUUUCUGAGCACUCUUGCCUUUCAUUUUUCUGCUUUGGGUUGACAGGCAGAUAAAACUCAGCACAGCAAGUCAUAGAAGGAAUUCAGUCCAGUCCCACACUGUCAAAGGGAAUCAGGUGGUUGGACUAAACAGAAAUGGAGCUCACCUCCAGUCUGAAUUAAUGCCAGAAGAUAUGUUUAAUCACAGACAAUUAUACAUACACACACACAUACACACACUCACACACCAUAGUAAUAACAGCUCAAUUAAGUCAGCACUGUGAAUGGAUGCAGACAUUUUGCCAAGCCCAUUGUGGACUGAAGCACUAGGGAUUUGGAAUUUGGAGCUUCUUCCUCCUUGAACCUUUGCUCCAACUAUCCCCCUCUAGUCCAGGGAGUGGAGCAUGUCAUCUCUGGGCUAAGCAAGACUACCUGAUAUUCAGGACAGAAGGGUUCAACAUGUCACACCAAAGCAGGACAUGUCAUCCCUGACAAAAGGAAAUUUUAUGAGUUGAGUGUAAAUGAAUCAGAAACAGAUGGAUGAUAUUUUUGUUAAAAUACACAUGGGCUUUAAAAUGAAGGGGGUGACAAGGGGUUGCAGACAAAGGUUUGGCAAAAAUGCCUUGGGCUCUGCCAGAUCCUACAGAACUCUUUGUUGAACCCAGAAUAUGGCCCAGGUCAAUGUUCCAUCAUUAAUGGAUAAUAUGACCACACACAAGCCCUGGAACAAAAAUAAUUCUAAUAAAUAUGGGUACUCAUCAGCAAAGUUUUCAGUUUGUGACAAGAAUGAAAUGUUAUGUCAUGGAAUGGCACGACAUGCAUCCCACAUGCCAGCACUUGACUCGAACGUGGGAUAUUGGAAGGUUGGAGGUAUUCUCUGCACCUUGUCCCUCUCCUGGGGUCUGGGUGCCCUGAAUUCUAAUUUGUUCUUUUCUUUUUGCCACAUCUCUUUACUAAUUGAAAACUGACAGCAAAAAUAACCCCCAACCACAAAUAUCUACAAGAAAAUGAAGACAUUCAGACAUACUGAAAUACUUUGAGUUUUAUGAGCUCUAAUAAGGUUAAUCAAGGCUCUGGAAAGAAUUUCAUUUCACGGUGGACUCAACAAAACAAUGAGCUGGGACGUGCAGUGAUUGGCUGGAGAGGGAGGCCUGGGGGCCUGAUGAACUGCUGCUGGUCAAUUUGGGUGAGCCUCUGCCUCAACCGUUUCCAUAUUGACUCAAUCCUGGUGGAACUUGGGCACUGUCUAUUGGUUGGCCUGUAGGCUGCUGUCAAUCUCCCAGCUCUGCAAGUACCAAAUGAGCCUCCACUGACAUUCUCAAAGCUGAGUUAUUCCUCAGUGAAUUUGUUUUCUGAAGAGUUUACUCUGUGGUGGAGAAUGCUUCCCCACCUCAUUUCUUUAAGGCAGUAUUAUACAAUCCCAACUGGGGUAUGGUGGUAGUGGUGGCAGGCAACAAACAGGAGGGGGCGGUGGACACCCAGCAGGAAUUACAAAGGAGAAAGUGACAAAGGGGUGGAUCUGGGCAGUAUUAAUGCUGGUGUCAUCCCAGCAGGAUGAAGACCAGUAGAGUCUCUUUCUACUCCUUAUUCCCUAGUAGUCUAUUGGAUCUAUUCUUCCUCACCUUCAAAUGGGCUCGUAGGGAAUAAGCAAGGCUUAUUCAGCCAAUGGAUUUUGCAUCCUGAAGGCUUCUCUUCUCAGGGGAAAGAUAUCAUAAACUCUUCAGGCAUGAGGACUGUGUGCAAUCUGGUUUUAUAAUCUUAGCGUCAGCAUUUUAUGGGUUCACCACAAAUAAUGGGUUCAUAUGCUCAUGCUCCUGUGGGUCGGUAGACCCCACACAACGGUGUUCCAAAAGGCAGCUCUUCCUUAUACACUCACCCACAGAAGUAUGAGAACUUGAAACAUCACAGGUUGACUGUGCCAUCUCUUCAUUUAAUAUGUCCCAUUCCCUCUGUUCUGGGGGUGGGGUGGGGUGGGAAACAUGUUCCAUAUUUUCCCACUAAUGUAGCUUAAGUGCUAAUGGAUCUCUUAGCUGUGUCUCCCAGAUAGCUUACUUCCAUUACAUAAAGUCCUAAUUCAAGAAGUGACUCCAAGUGGUGGGACCUCCAGGCACCAGCUGAGGCCCUGGGGCUGGAGACACCUUCCAAGGCUCUUAUUCAGUACAGAAAGAGUAUGGGAACAUCAGAAGAGCAUGUGGUCAGAAAGAUCUGGGCUUGUUCCUGGCUCCUCUUCUUCCUAUGUGUGGAAUAGAAAGCAAUUUACAUAACCUCCCAGAGUCCGCUGGAAAUGCCCAUCCUUGGGGUUAUUGCAAAGAUUAAAUGAAAUGAUGUAUAUAAGUCUAGCACAGUGCCAGGCACAUCAUAAAUCUAAGUUCCUUUCUUUUCUUCUAGUUAUUCCUUUGCUACUAUAGCAAUCUAGUCUUAAAGCCUACUCUUGUCAGGCACUGUGAGUAUACUUUGAAGAUGUGGACGGCUCUGUGUAAGAAUUGUUCCCCCCUUGCUGUAGAAGCCUGGGACUCUCCACUUCUUAAACACACCCAAGCUUACCUGAGUAAUCUCUUGCCAACCAGGUGCUCUUUGGCGGCUGGGGGCGAAGGUGGUCUCCUUGCUGAUGCAGCAUAUUGUGGUGAGUCCUCAUCUGCAUGCUGCUAGGGUCUUGCUGACUCUCCCCACCAGCAGGGAGAGGCUUUGGGGGCACAUCACAGGGAUCGCUGGCUUCCUGCACUCACAGCCGCGGGUCCAGCACCCUGAGCUUCCUUUUCCCAAGACACAGAGCCCCAGGGUUUCUGCCUCCACAGCAGAAGAGGGUGGAGCAGGCCCUGUGAGGCUCACUCAGAACCCAUCCAGUCUCCUGGGGUGUGAAUCUCCGUUGACCAGCUCGCUGCUGCACUAAUAAAUAUCAAACCCUUCAACGGGAAAAUAAAUUAUCCCCAACUGCUAGGCAAAACAGGCUUGAUAAAUUGUCGCUUUAGCCAACAGUGUUUAAAGUAAAAUCAGUAAAGUGUGAGUAAUGAUGGCCAAGUCAAAAGUCCUGUAUUAAACACAAUGGUCUGAGAAGAGAGGGGGACAGCCUGCAGAGAGAAGCGAAUGCAAGCUGAACACUAAAGCAACUCUUGCAGAGAGAGAGAGAGAGAGAGAGAGAGAAAGAGAGAGAGAGAGAGAGAGAGAGAGAGAGAGAGAGAGAGAGAGAGAGAGAGAAAGGAAAGGACGGACUUAGGAUUUAUUAUCCUAUUAGUUUUUUCUGUAGGAGCAGCUCUCAGGGUGAUCUGGGCAUAAAGUCAAAAUCUCCAUUUACCAGAGAUGUUUAGAAAACAUGCUCUUAAAAGUGGAAACUACCAAGUAUUUGACUGGACAACAUAAAUAUGGUUGAAUUCUUUCAGUAUAGUGGGGAAUCUUGAAAGAGCUACAGUUCUUAAAGGAGCUGUCUGGGAAGGAUUUCUGGGUGAGGAAAAUUUGGAGAAUUUUUCCUUAAGGGGGAAAAUAAGGCAAAGUGAUUGGUUACUGAUGUGAUCUUGUGUACUUCCAUGUUUAUGUACCAUACUGUAUAAUGCACAGUCAAACCUCACUAAUUCCAAUUGAAUUAUAAAAGAAUCAGAACGAUGAGAAAUUGAGGAAAAUGUAUUAAAUGUUGGCUUUCAAGUUCUAGAAUCAUAAUUAUAACCACAGACAAUACAUACUAUUGAACUCUCACUAGAUUUUGGGCCCUUUGUGGAAUGUUUUAUAUGAAGUAAGCAGUAAAUAACUUUUCUAGGAUCACAUAGGUACAAAUAUUGUAGUAGUCAGGAUUUAAACUCAGAUCAGGCUAUUUCCAAAUCUGUAUUCUUAACCAUUAGAAUAUAACCCCUGUGAUCAAUUUAGAAAUGUAUUUCAUUAUAAGUUACAAUCCUCUCACAUAGGAUUACUCAACAUAAACUAUUAUGAAAAAUGGGCAACCUACGGGUUCGUGUUUUAUGUCAGAAAUUUCAUUAGUGAUAUUAAUAAUGAUCAUAUUAAUAUUCAUCAGCAAAUGUUCAAAUAGCUAAGGUGUUAGAUGCUUAAAGUGGUCUAUUUUCAAGGAUAUAAUGUCCUUGUACCCUCAUUUCAUUUAUAUAUAUAUAUAUAUAUAUAUAUAUAUAUAUAUAAUUUGUUAAGGAUUUGAGGCAGCUUAGUACAUAAAUGCAUUAUAAAACAGCAUUUAUUCCUCCUGGGAUCUGAAGUCAGUUCCUCCACCCUUGCUCUUGAAUUCAUCCACUUCAGCUUUCUCAAAGGGGACUCACAUCAAUAGAUCAUCUCACAUUUCUUCUUCAUAUUUAUCUUUUUUCCUCUGUAGUGGUCAACUGUGAACUUUUUUAUUUCCUCAAUAUCCCUUUAUUUUAAAAAUGGUUUCUCACCUACUCCAUAUAAAUUAUGUGGGGCUGCCAAUCAAAUCCUGUGGCCUGUCUUCUCUGCUGCAAGAGUGGACAUGUAGUAUAGGGUAGCCAAUCAGAAUAUCCUUUACCUUUUUUAAAAAAUAUUUUUUAAGUUAUAUAUGGACACAAUAUCUUUAUUUUUUUAUUUUUAUAUGGUGCUGAGGGUCAAACCCAGUGCUUCACAUGUGCAAGGCAAACGCUCUGCUACUCAGCCAGAACCCCAGCCCCUAUCCUUUAUCUUUUGACACCAUGGAUAGUAUUUCCAGUGUACCAUAGGUUCCAGGCAUCACCAGAGUCUCUUUUAACAGAGAUUUGUAUAAAUGCCAGGAGAGGGACAGAGAGGCAGGCACGCGUGCGCGUGCGCACACACACACACACACACAAUCUCUUUCUUUUAAACUCUGAAAGUUCUCAAACUGUAUAGGAUCAAAGCUAAAUGUAUGUGUAAAUGUACGUGAUAGAUCCUAAUAAUGGGAAAUAAGGACUGAGAGAUGAAUAAAGGGAAUCUGGGAAACACUUUUUGAACAAUCUUCUCAAUGCCUUAAAUUUGAUGAACUUUUCUGAUGAUGAUAAUUGAUAAAUUAUUAGGUGUUAUGCCAGAUUAUUAUACCUAAAUACUAAUGGAAUUCUCAAAGUCUUCAUUUCCAUGAAGUCAGAUUUACUUUUCUAAAUUCUAUUUCUUUGGGGGCCAGAGCAAACCAGUUUGGGGUACUGACUUCUAAACAAGUUCAGGUCUUGGUUGCAAGAGCAUUAAUUAGGGAUAGACAUAUUACUCAUGCUCUUGGUUGCUAAAUUUAGCAGAAAUACAUUUGUGGAAAGAUGUUUGGUAGCUUACAGAGCUGUUAGAAAACUAGGACCCCCAAGAGUAGACAAUUGGCUAGGGUCAAGGAAAACUUGUUCACAGAAAAUAGCCAAUGCUUCCCUCAAGGACUGGGUAUCACCAGCAGCACUGUAAUUAGGUCUUUGCUGCCUAUGCCACUUCUCUGUGGUUGGAUGGACAUUCUCUAAUUAUCUUUGCUUUAUUUGUCAACUCUUGUCAAAAUCAAAGUCUUUGAGGGCAGCAUCCUGUUUGUUUCAGUUGUAGUCACACAUUGUGUCACACAUUGAUUCCUGUUAAGUACUUUCAUGUUUAUGUUCAUGAGGAAUAUUGAUAUAUAGCUUUUUUUUCUUAUAAAUAUUUUUAUCCAUUUCUACUUUCUGAAAACUUCAUGUAUAAUUGAUAUUAUUUCUUCCAAAUGCAAAUAGAACUUAGAGUGAAACUCUCUGGAACUGGAUGUAUCUUUUGGAAAGCUUUGAAUUAAUAAAUUCAAUCAUUUAAAAGAUAGAGGACCAUUCAUAUUUUCUAUUUCUUUUUGUAUCAGUUUUGAUAAUCAAUAUCUUUUAAGAAAUUUACCUAUUUUGCCUUGCGCACUGGUGCACUCCUGUUAUCCCAGUGGCUCAGGAGGCUGAGGCAGGAGGAUCACAAGUUCACAGCUAGCCUUAGCAAAAAAUCAAGGUUCUAAGCAACUCAGUGAGACCCUGCACUGUAAAUAAAAUACAAAAUAGGGCUGGACAUAUGGUUAAGUAUCCCUGAGUUCAAUUCCUGGUACCCCUACCCCCCUAAAAAUAUAAAUUUGCCUAUUUUAUCCAAAUUGCCCAGUUAAUAAAGUUUACACUAUUUAAUUAAAUUUUUUUUUUAUAAAUAGUUGAUCAUACAUUGAUUACCUGCAAAGAGGCUAUAUUCAGAAAGUACCAUUUAUGCCUCUUCCUCUUCCUUUUUAAAAAAAUUGUUCUAAUUACUUACAUAUGACAACAGAAUGCAUUUCAAUUCAUUGUACACAAAUGGAGCAAAACUUUCCAUUUCUCUGGUUGUACAUGAUGUAGAGUUGCACCAUUUGUGUAAUCAUACAUGUACCUAGGAUAGUGAUACCUGUCUCAUUCCACUAUCUUUCCUACCCCCAUGCUCCCUCCCCUCUUUUCCUUCCCCUUUGCCCAAUCCAAAGUUCCUUCAUCCCCGCCAGCUCCCCACCCCUCAAGCCCAUUAUGGAUCAGCAUCUACUUAUCAGAGAAAAGAUUUGGCCUUCGAUUUUUGGGGAUUGUCUUAUUUCAUUUAGCAUGAUAUUCUCCAACUCCAUCCAUUUACCUGCAAAUGCCAUAAUUUUAUUCUCUUUUAAUGCUGAGUAAUAUUCCAUUGUGUAUAUAUAGCAUAGUUUCUUUAUUCAUUCAUCUAGGUUGGUUCCACAGUUUAGCUAUUGUGAAUUGAGCUGCCCUAAAAAUUGAUGUGGCCGGGUCACUAUACUAUGCUGAUUUUAAGUCCUUUAGUUAUAGACUGAGGAGUGGGAUAGCUGGGUUAAAUGGUGGUUCCAUUCCAAGUAUUCCAAGGAAUCCUCCAUACUGCUUUCUAGAAUGGUUGCACCAAUUUGCAGUCCCACAAGUCAUGUAUGAGUGUAUUUCUUCCCUACAUCCUCACCAACACUUUACAAUACUUCUUUAUUAUUUUUUUAAUAUCUGUGUGAUCUCUUGUGAUGACCCUCAUUUCCUGGUCACUAUGUCUAGAUGUUUAUCAUUAUUAAUCUUUCAAAAAACUAUCUUUUGGCAUUGUUGAAUUUCUGCAUUGUUUUUCUUUUCACUUCACUAUUUCUGUUCGUAAUUUUGCUUAUUCUAGGGUUUGUUCAUUUCUAUUUUCAUCAUUUAGUUUAUAUCAUAGACUUGAAGCCCUUUCUUCUUUUCUAGUAUAAGUAUUAACUGAUACACAUUUUCCUCCAGGGACUUCCUUGGUUCAUUCCAUAAAAUUUGAUGUGUUUUCUUUCUUUCUUUCAAAUUUUAGAGCAGUGGCUUCCAACUUGUGAGUUACUAUGUGGAAUGAUUGUAAGAAUUCUAGGAAAUCCUAUGUGUAAAAAUAUUUUAUAGGUUGGACACAUCAUAGGCCAUGAAUUCUCAAUUCUCAUAUAUGUAGAUUAAUACAUCAUUUAUCAAGUGUAUGUUUUUGUUUUUAAUUAGCAUAGUGCUAACUCAUUUUAGUUUUUUGUCCCCAUUGUCAUUAUUCUGCUUAAUCUUAUGUAACUAAGAUUUUUUUUUUGCAUUUUUUUAUUAUUAGUUGUUCAAAACAUUACAAAGCUCUUGACGUAUCAUAUUUCAUACAUUCGAUUCAAGUGGGUUAUGAACUCCCAUUUUUACCCUGUAUACAGAUUGCAGAAUCACAUUGGUUACACAUCCACGUUUUUACAUACUGCCAUAUUAGUAACUGUUGUAUUCUGCUGCCUUUCCUAUCCUCUACUAUCCCCCCUCCCCUCCCCUCCCCUCCUAUCUUCUCUCUCUACCCCAUGUACUGUAAUUCAUUUCUCUCCCUUGUUUUUUUUCCCUUUCCCCUCACUUACUCUUAUAUGUAAUUUUGUAUAACAAUGAGGGUCUCCUUCCAUUUCCAUGCAAUUUCCCUUCUCUCUCCCUUUCCCUCCCACCUCUCAACCCUGUUUAAUGUUAAUCUUCUUCUCAUGCCCUUACUCCCUGCUCUGUUCUUAGUUGCCCUCCUUAUAUCAAAGAAGACAUUUGGCAUUUGUUUUUUAGGGAUUGGCUAGCUUCACUUAGCAUAAUCUGCUCUAAUGCCAUCCAUUUCCCUGCAAAUGCCAUGAUUUUGUCAUUUUUUAGUGCAGAGUAAUACUCCAUUGUGUAUAAAUGCCACGUUUUUUUUUUAUCCAUUCAUCUAUUGAAGGGCAUCUAGAUUGGUUCCACAGUCUAGCUAUUGUGAAUUGUGCUGCUAUGAAUAUCGAUGUAGCAGUAUCCCUAUAGUACACUCUUUUAAGGUCUUUAGGGAAUAGUCCGAGAAGGGCAAUAGCUGGGUCAAAUGGUGGUUCCAUUCCCAGCUUUCCAAGGAAUCUCCAUACUGCUUUCCAAAUUGGCNUUUAGCCCGUUUGUCAAAUGUAAGGUAGUUGUAAUUUUGUGGAUUGGUCUCUGUGUCCUUUAUUCUGUACCAUUGGUCCACCCUCCUGUUUUGGUACUAGUACCAUGCUGUUUUUGUUACUAUUGCUCUGUAGUAUAGUUUGAAGUCUGGUAUCGCUAUACCGCCUGAUUCACUCUUCCUGCUUAGAAUUGCUUUUGCUAUUCUGGGUCUUUUAUUUUUCCAUAUGAAUUUCAUGAUUGCUUUAUCUAUUUCUACAAGAAAUGCCGUUGGGAUUUUGAUUGGCAUUGCAUUAAACCUAUAGAGAACUUUUGGUAAUAUUGCCAUUUUGAUGAUGUUAGUUCUGCCUAUCCAUGAACAGGGUAUAUUUUUGCAUCUUCUAAGAUCUUCUUCUAUUUCUCUCUUUAGGGUUCUGUAGUUUUCAUUGUAUAAAUCAAUUUGAUGUGUUUUCAUUUCCAUCCAUUUCAAAAUAUUUUUUCCUCUUGUGCUUUCUUCCUGAAGCCAUCAUGUUUUAGAAGUAUGUAUAAAAGUUCAAGUAUUGGUGAAUUUUCCUAUAACCUUUCCGUUAUUGAUUUCUAGCUUUAUUCCUUUGUGGACAGAGACUAUACAUUAUAUAAAUUCAGUUACUUUAAAAGUUAUUGAACUUUUCUUUGUAAUUCAGAAUAUGAUCUAUUUUGGUGAAUAUUUCUCAGGCACUCAAAAAUAUGCUUUAAGGUGUUUUUGAGUACAGUGUUAAAUAAAUAACUGUUUUGUUGAGUUGGUUGAUAACUUAUAUCUUACAUAACUUUACUGGUUUUCUGUCCAUUUUAUUAAUUACUUGGAUAGGAUUGUUGAAAUUUUCAGCUAUACUUAGGAAUUUGUCUACUUCUACUUUUUAAAAAAUAUUUAUUUCUUAGUUAUAGGUGGACACAUUUUAUAUUUAUGUGAUGCUGAGGAUCGAACCCAGUGCCUCACACAUACCAGGUGAGCGCUCUACCUCUGAGCUAUAACCCCAGCCCCAACUUCUGCUUUUAAUUCUAUUAGUUUUUAAUAUAUAUAUAUAUAUAUAUAUAUAUAUAUAUAUAUAUAUAUAUAUAUUUUGGUGGUGCUGGGGAUUGAACCCAGGGCCUUGUGCAUGUGAGGCAAGCACUCUACCAACUGAGCUAUAUCCCCAGCCCCCUUUAAUUCAUGUAUUUUAAGAUUCUAUUAUUAGAAUACACAUUGUAUAUUAUUGUAUUUUAUUAUGUUAUCAUUGUAACUUAGCCAUCUUUAUCCGUUGUGAUAUUUCUUAUAUGACGUUUUACAGUUAUUUUAAUUUAGUAUUUGUAUAUCUCUUAUUGCAUUUUCUUCUUUUAACUUUUUGGAAAUAAAGUAAAGCUAUAGAGACAUGAUUUUAUACAUAGUAUACAAAAAGCAAAACAAAUCAAAACAACAACAAAACUUAUUAGAACCAAUAAACAAAUACAGAAAAGUCACAAGAUAAAAGAUUGAAAAUUCAAUUGCAUUUCUAUAUAUGAGCAAUCAACAAUCUGAAAAUGAAAUUGACAAUAAUUUCAUUCAUUAUAGCAUCAAAGAAAAUAAAAUACUUCAGGAUAAGUUUAACAAAAGAAGUGCAUGACUUGCUGCUGAGAAAACUUAAAAAGAAAAUUUAAAUAGAGAGACAUUUUAAGUUCAUGAAUUUGAAAGCUCAAAACUUCAAGUAGGCAAUUCUCCUCAAACUGAUCUUUGUAUUCAACACAGUCUAUAUUAAAAUCCCAGAAGACCGUUUUGCUCAUUUUUUGAUCUGUAAAGUCUUUAUCUUCACUUUUAAAAGAUAUUUUCAUUAAAGAAGUCUACACCAACUAUUAUUUUUUUCUUUCUAGUCUCUAAAUAUGCUGAUUAUUUGUCUUCUUUCUUGAAUAGUUUCUAAUGAGAAGUUGGCUGUGAUUCUUUUUAAAUUUUUAAUAUUUUAAUUCUAUUAUUUCUUUUUAGUUAUACAUGACAGUAGUAUCCAUUUUCACAUAAUUAUACAAGCAUUAAAUAUUAUUCUAAUUAAGACCCACACCUUGUAGAUGUACAUGACAGUGAAAUUAACUGUGGUGUAUUCAUAUAUGUAUAUAGGAAAGUUAUUUCAGAUUCAUUCCAUUGUCUUUCCUUUUGGCUGUCAUUCUUAUCACUGUAUCUCUUAUUCCUCUAUCCGUUUAAAAAUAUUCUCCUUAACUCACUUUUAAUAAUCUGAUUAUGAUGUGUCUUAGUGUGGUUUGUUUCUUUUUAUUGGAUUUCCUUGAAAUUAUUAGAUUUAUGGGUAUUUUAGUCAGUUUUUUUUUGUUGCUGUGACCAAAAUAUCUGAUAAGAACAAAUUAGAGGCGGAAAAGUUAUUUGAGGCUCGUGGUUUCAGAGAUCUUUGUCCAUAGAUGGCUGGCUUCACUGCUUUGGGCCCAAGAUGAGGCAGCAUAUCAUGGGAAAAGGAGUCUUCAUUCCAUCACCUGCUUCAUCUUUAUAAUUCCACGUAUUGCCUUCUCAGGGAAGCCUGGAGGAAUUUUGACCCUAUUACACUUUGCCUGGCCUCCCAGACUUUCCUCUGAAAUCUCAGUGGGAGCUUCGAUGACCCCUUAACUUGGACAUCCUGCAGUCCUGCAAAACCAGCACUGUAUGGAUGGAACCAAGGUCUUCUGCUAGCUUGUAGAAUAGUCAGGUCCCUGCUGUGGAAACCUCUGAGUAUCUGCAGAGCUCAGCAUGGUAAAACAACUUCCUAAGACCCUCUCUGUAUGAGCAGAGUGCCCUCAUGAUCUCUUCUUAAAGAACUUUUCCCUUAUAUAUCCCUGAGCCUGAAAUGGGUGUGGGCUUUCAAAUUCCUGAGAUGCUCUCAAGCCAAUUUUCCUAUUGCCUUGUACAAAGUACUUAGCAUGACUUUAGGAGCUGUAAUCUCUUCAACAAGCACAUCUUUUCUGUCCUCAAAUUUCAUGUACUUUUCUGUUCAAACUGCAAGUUUUUUAAAUCCUUUAUCUCUGUUACCUGCCCCUAUUUGUCACAGUAAACCUGACUGAAAGCUUCCAGUAAUAUCCACAACACUGACUGAAAGCUGUGCUUCCUUGAAAUUUAUUUCCAUCAGAAUAAUUAGUUCAUAUUCAGUCUCACACAAAGUAUCAUGUCAUGGACAAAAUGUAGCCAGGUUCAUAACAUGAGCAGCUGCUAUUCUAAUUCCCAACAGAGUCCUCAUUUUCUUCUGAAAUCUCAUGAGCACUCUAGUCAUGCCACUCUGGACUUUUGAACUUCCACCAAAUUUCUCAUUCAGCUCUGCUUGCUUCUAAAACUAUUCCAGCUUGCAUCUCUAAACAUUUCAACAUCCCCUUCAUCCCGAACCAGCUCCAAUAUCUUCUGAGCCACAUGGUCAAAUAAAUCAUAGCAACAACCCCACUUCUGUUUUAGUUAGGUUUUGUUGUUGUUGUUGUUGUUUUGUUAUUGUUGGUGUUGCUGUGAUCAAAAUGCCCAACAAGAAACUUAGAGGAGAAAAAUUUAUUUGGGGCUCACAGUUUCAGAGGCCUCAGUCCAUAGAUAACUGACUCCAUUUCUCUGGGACCAGGAUGAGGCACCACAUCAUGUGGGAAGGGCCCAGCAGAUUAAAGCUGCUCAUCUUUGAUGUAUGGGAUGGGACCACAGAGAACUGCACCUUUCCAAGGCACCCCCUCAGUGACCCAUCUCCUCCAUUCAUGCCCCCACCUGCCUACAGUUAUCAUCCAGUCGAUCAAUUCAAGCUAAGAUGGACUAAUUAGGUUACCACUCUCACAAUUCAAUCAUUUAACCUCUGAACAUUCCUGCACUAACACAGAGCUUUGGGGGAACAUCUCAUAUCAAACCAUCACACAUUACUUUUACAUUCUUGCCGCAGUCUGGCUGGGCACAAAAUCUCGAGCCACUCACAGCCUUGUAGAUUCAAACAGCAACUCUUUAUUCCCGAACUGUCACCGGCACUCCACAUGCACGUUCUGGGAAAAAUCCACACCUCCACCAGGCUCUGCAUCCCAAAAUACUCUCUGAAUCCCACGAGAACUCAACGGGAACAGGCGGGCGGGCGCCUGAGGCAGCACGAUAUGCCCUAUUCCCAGCAGGGUUCACCUUAAACCUGGACCCACCCUAAUCCAGCAGGAUCCUCCCUAAACCGGGAUCCACCCUGGUCCUUGAGCAGGGUCACCUUUCUCAAACAUUCAUGCAAUGUCACUGCAAAUGACCUGGGUCCAAGGCAAGCCCAUUUCCACAAUGGAGAGUCCUCCCUCUAAGCAACAUUGGGUAGGCUGACAAAGAAAUUGCCAUGUGUCAUUCCUACUUGUCAAUGGCUCUCAGCACAUUCUGGUCAUAUUUUUCUUUGUUUAAAGGUCCUUAUAGGUUAAUGCCAUGAUCUCUUUAAUUUCCCUAUGUGUUUUGACUGGUAAAUUUUUUUCUCCCUCUGGGUCAUUUUCUUUUAUGCUUGUGGGGCAAUUUUCGUGAUACAGGACAUUCUGACUUUAUAUAGUGAUGGCUUUGUUGCAUGUCUUUAAUAAGGCUGUAAUAUAUUUGGAUUUGUAGUUAAGUCAUCUAAUGGGAUUAUUUUGAAGCUUAGUUUUGAACUUUUUAAAGUGUUUUUCUAGAGAAGACUUUAUCCUAGGACUAAUUUAAUUCCAGUACUAAGUGAAACUUUCCUGACUAUUUGAAAUGAUGUUCUGUCUAUUUCAAGGUCUUUUUAUGCCUCUGGAAAAAACACAAAGACUUCAAUUUUUUUGUGUGUGUGUAUGUGUGUGAAUUCCAGGAUUUGUUAGCCUUCUUCUCUGUGGUAUUUCUUUUCUCCAGCUUGUUUUGAUUUCUUCUCACAUAAGGAAUGAAACUGAGUGAGUCAAAGACUCAGGUGGAACCUCCAUAUAUCUGUGAAAUAUUUUUUUUUUCUCUCUCUCAAAAUAUCCCCAACCUUCAGUUCUCCACCCCACAAAUUUCUAAAUGCUGUCUCAAAAUUCCAAUUUUUGUCUCCCCAAUUUAGCAAGAACAUUGAGCUCUGUUUAGUACACAUGUAUGCACUUUGGCAGUAAAUCAAUGCAUUUCUAGGGCUCUUUGUUUUCCCCUUUUCAGUGUUAUUGUCUGACUGCCUGUUGUCCAAAAUUUUUCAUAUAUUUUGCCUAGUUUUAGGUCCUUUUAAGAUGAAAGAAACCUAUGCUUUGUUAUACCAUCUUGUUUAGACACGAGAUACCACAUAGGCUUUUUAUUUUAUUGAAUUUCUUCACAGAAGGUUAGUUUCCCCAAAAGAAUCAUUGGGUCAAUGAUUAUAAACAUUUUAAAAACUUUUCCAAGAAAAAAAGUCUCUCUUCCUUUCUCUGUGCUAGGAACACAUAUAUUUGUUUAUUAAUAUGAUCUCUUUGUCCUUCUAUGAAUUCUUUUCAUUUAGGUAAUCAAACUUGUGGGCAUACAGUUGCUUGUAGUAUUUUUUUGGUGCUAAGAUUUCUGAGUUCUUUAUAUAUCCUAUAGAUUAGUGCUCUAUCUGAUGUGCGUGUGGUAAAAAUUGGUUCCCAAAAUAUAGGCUCUCUGUUUACCUCACUGAUUAUUUCUUUUGCUGAGAAGAUGCUUUUUAGUUUGAAUCCAUCCCAUUUAUUCUUUUUUUAAUACAAUUUCAUUUAUUCAGUUUUAAGACUUAUUCAAAAGGCUUCAUAUUUUUUAUAACUUGUUUGUUGGUCCAUUGGAGUAGUUAUUUUGAAAGAUGUUCUUUUCCUUUAUGACACAAAUUAGGUAAAAUUUCUUUAGAGGAGCUCAGCUUUCCAGUGAUUUAGAAGAACCUGUCUGAUUCAGAAGAGCCUAGCUGGGACUGUGAUUCCUCCAACUUGACUGUGGUUGGUUUCUUCUGUUACUCAACAUCAAUGGUUUCACAGCCUUCCUCUAUCUUCACUCUAUGAAGCUUAGGGAGUUUCAAUUCACCCUUCUUUCCACCAUAGCUGAAUACUAGAAGGGGAGGGAUAGGGUCCUCAGACUUCAAGGGCUUGCUUUCCCAAUCUCUCGAUAAAUUCUGCUCUUGUUAAAAAUCAGAUGGUCCUCCGCAUGAACUUCUUGAAAAAGGCCUUCUACCUCAUAUAAACCAUCAUCUUUGCUGUCUUCUAAAUUUUCAAGUAAGAUGUAUACUCAGGGUUUCUCUUCAACAUACAAAUUGUCCUUCGAUUUGGAGAGAGAAUUGGCUUCUGUCUCCCUGCUUUUCAUGCUAUUCUUACUCUUGAGGCUACUUGUCAAGUGAUCAUUGGCCUCCUCAAUGUCACCUUUCAGGACCAUUUCUUCAUCUGUUUUGUACUUCCUACUCCUCAUUUUCUUUUUUUUUCCUGAGGUCUUUUUACUUCUCAGCGACUCCACAGUUGCAAAGCCAUCUGCUGUAGGGGUCUUCUCUGUGGCGCUCCUGUCCGACUGCUUUGAUUAAUUUCUACUAGACUGAGCCGGCCAGGGAGGAGGGGGACAGACAUUCUAAGAAGAACUUGUCUCAACCAUGACUAUUUCUUCCCUGUUUUCAAGGUAGUCUGAUAGUGUAUCUGAGUCACAAUCGGGUUUAACAUACAUACAUUCUAUGUAACGUGUCUUCUUAGGACAGCUCAGAUCGCAUUGGAUCAAUUCAUCUACUUGGAUCUUAGCUCUCUCUCUUUGAUGGUAGUUAUGUAAAAAAAUGUAACUUUGGGGAGGGCAUAUCAAGUUUUUCCUUGUAUGGUAAUUCUGAUACAUUGUGCACUUCAAUAUCAUCUUCCUUUUAAAAUUCUGAAUCUAUGGUCAGGUUUCAAAUCAGAACCAAAAGCCACAGGUCCUCUUUGAUGUGGCUUCUCACUGCAGGUCAAGUUUAACUUGUGUGGUUUACUGACUUUGGACUUAGCCCUCUCACAGUUGUAGGAAUCAGCAUACCAUCAACUCGACAUUGAGUACAUUGUUGAUAUUUAUCACUCACUUCAAUGUUGUCCUCCUUAAGUUUAGAUGACUUCAGAUAAUCCAGAGGCUCUUUAUACUCACAUACUUUAGUCUCCAAAUCAGGACCAGAGACCACACAUCCUAAUAGAUGUUGCUUCUCAGUCGCCCUCACAUCCAUUUGGAUAGCUGCAAAACUUUCUUGCAUUAUCAAACUUUGUGUUGGAUUCCAGAAGCCUGAAGGAGCUCUAGUCCCCAUUUAUUGAUUUUUGAUUUUAAUUGUUUGAUUAAAAUCUAUAGGAGCCUUAUUAAGGAAGUUGGGGUCUAAUCCAACAUGAUGGAGAUUUGGGCCUACUUUUCUUCUAUUAGCACAGUGUCUCUGGUUUAAUUCCUAGGUCCUUGAUCCUUGAGUUUUGUUCAUGGUGAGAAAUAGGGGUUUGAUUUCAUUUUGUUGCAUAUGGAUUUCCAGUUUUCCCAGCACCAUUUGUUGAAGAGGCUAUCUUUUCUCCAAUGUAUGUUUAUGGCACCUUUGUUUAAUAUAAGAUAACUAUAAUUAUGUGGGUUAGUCUCUGUGUCCUCUAUUCUGUUCCAUUGGUCUAUCAGUCUAUUUUGGUGCCAAUAUCAUGCCGUUUUUGUUACUUAAACUCUGUAGUAUAGUUUAAGGUCUGGUAUAUCGAUGCCACCUGCUUCACUCUUCUUGCUAAGGAUUGCCUUAGCUAUUAUGGAUCUCUUAUUUUUCCAGAUUAAUUUAAUGACUGCUUUUUCUAUUUCUAUGAGGAAUGUCAUUGAGAUUUUGAUUGGAAUUGCAUUAAAUCUCUAUAGUGCUUUUGAUAGUAUGGUCAUUUUGACAAUAUCAAUUCUCAGAAGAAGAUAUACAAUCAAUCAACAAAGAUAUGAAAAAAAUGUUCAACAUCUCUAGCAAUUAGAGAAAUGCAAAUCAAAACUACUCUAAGAUUUCAUCUCACUCCAGUCAGAAUGGCAGCUAUUAAGAAUACAAACAACAAUAAGUGUUGGCAAGGAUGUGGGGGAAAAGGCACACUCAUAGACUGCUGGUGGAACUGAAAAUUGGUGCAGCCAAUAUGUAAAGCAGUAUGGAGAAUCCUUGGAAAAAUCCUUGGAAUGGAACCAUUAUUUGAUCCAGCUAUCUGUCUCCUCGGUAUAUACUCAAAAGACUUAAAAACAGCAUACUACAGGGACACAGCUACAUCAAUGUUUAUAGCAGCACAAUUCUCAGUAGCUAAACUGUGGAACCAAACUAGAUGCCCAUCAAUAGAUGAAUGGAUAAAGAAACUUUGGUAUAUAUACACAAUGGAAUAUUACUCAGCAUUAAAAGACAAUAAAAUUAUGGCAUUUGCAGGUAAAUGGAUGGAAUUGGAGAAUGUCAUGCUAAGUGAAGUUAGCCAAUACCAAAAAGCAAAUGCCAAAUGUUUUCUCUGACUUAAGGAUGCUGAUUCAUAAUGUGGUUGGGAGGAUUAGAUGAACUGUAGAUAGGGCAAAGGGGAAGGAAGGGAAGGGAGUGGGAAUGGGGGUAGGAAAGAUGAUAGAAUGAGAUGGACAUCAUUAGCCUAAAGGUAUGAAGAUACUAAUGGUGUGACUCUACUUUGUGUAUAAUCAGAGAUAUGAAAAAUUAUGUUCUAUAUGUGUAAUAUGAAUCGUAAUGCAUUCUGCUGUGAUAUAUAACAAAUUAAAAUAAAACACAAAAAUUGAUAGAUUGUAUUUUUAUUUUUCUUAGAUUUAAGUAAUUUCAAAUUUAUUUUAAGAUUUGUUCUUUGAUGCAUGUUUUAUUUAGAAGUGUAUUUUUUAAUAUCCAAAUAUUUUGAUAUUUUCUGUCUUUCUGUUAUUGAUUUCUAGUCUAAUUCUAUUGUGGUAUGAAAGCAUAUACUUUCUUCUAUUAAGUUUGUUAAGGUGUGUUUUAUGGUUCAGAAUGGAGUUUAUGUUGGUGAAUGUUCCGAAGAACACGUGUUCUGCUACUGUGCAAUGAAGUAGUGCAUAGAUAGCAACGAGAUUCAGUUGAUUGUAGGUGCCAUUCAAUUUAACCAUGUCCUUACUGAGAUUUUUGCUUGCUCUGUCAGUUGCUGAUAGGAAGGUGUUUUGAGUAUCGAAGAAGAUGCAACUGAUUUGGAUCUAUUUAAUUUUCAAACUCUUUCAAAAAUUUUACUGUGAUAGGUUAAUGUUUGAUUUACAAAAUUUAUCCUGUUCAGAAUUUAGUAGAUUAUUUUAACAUGAAGACUCUUUUGUUCUGUACUUUGGGGAUUUUUGGCUAUCAUUUCAUGAGAUGAUGUCUCCUUUUUUUCUUUUUGUUUCCAGUGACAACCCCUGUGUUGAUUUUUACACUAUAAGCAAAUUACUUAGUCAAAUUUCCACUACUUAUUUGCUCUUCCUCUGUUCCAGGAAACAUUAAAUUUUUAUUCCAACAAUUUUACAACAUUUUCUUCUGGCAUUUCUGUUUCAAAAUCAAUUUUUAUGUUCCAUAUAUAAUAACCACCUUUAUUAUUCAGAUUUUAUUAUUUUUUUGGAAUUAAUAAAUUUUAAUAUUAACUAUAAAUUAAUGUUUAAAUAUUAAUUUUACCACUCCAUUCUUUGAUUUUCUCAUCUUUAAUAGAAGAGGAUUGAGAAUAGUAAAAUAUUCAUAUAUUUCUUAUGAGGAUCAAGUGCUAUAAUACAUGAAAAGUCCUCAGAGCAGGUAGGGCUUCUCUGCCAAUCAGAAUAUUUUCUUUCCCAGAGGAGGUCUAUAGGGAGUGGAGUGGUUUCAGGGACUCCACACUGUUUUUAGUGAAGGUGGGGACUGAUGAGGUUGUCUGCUGGGCAGGGCUAUCUGAAUUGCUUUUAUUCUGGUCUUGGCUGCCCCUUGUUCCUUCUAGGUAAAACUAGUUAUAUAAGUUAUUGCCCAGUCUCUCUGCCCUAAGCAUGGCUACCAUCAGGAGAUAUUCAUUAUUUUUGCUACUUACUAGCUCCUGGGGUAAGGAAAGAUGUAAAGAGGUUAAUCCGCCUUCCUAUAGUCAUGUGAAGGCCCUAAGCAAUGCCAUAGUCAGUUGCCCCAUGGCCUCUUCUUGAUCCUGGCUUAUGCCUGGGUAUGAAGUACUAUGCCUUUCCCAUCAUGUGAUAGAAUCCUCUUGUGAGAAUAGUUGUACAUAUUCUGUGUGAUCUUUUGUAUAGAUAAUAAAUUCCAUCAGUCUCAGAGACACCUCUCUGAUGAUUACUUUUGAGUAUUCAGAAUAUCACAUUUAUUAUUGUGUAAUAGGUCACCUUAAUACUUGGUAGCAUAAAACAUCGACAGUUAUUUACUCUAUGGGCCACUAAUUUGGUCUGCCCCAGAUGGGUGGCUGGGAUGCUUGUGGCUGAUUGAGCUCACGUCAAGCAUUUGCUAGUUGCUGCCUGAGUAGCUGGGGGUUGUCUGGUCUCAGGUGUUUCAGCUUGAAUGGAUGUUCUCUGCUGGACCUUGUGUCCUAUCAUCCAGCAGGUGAGGCUGGACCUGCUCACAUGGCACCAGUGUUAGGGCCUCCAAGAACAAGAAUGAUCUCAAGACGCCUUGAACACAUCUUCCACCACCUGAACAGUGUGUCUUAAUUCUAUUGACCAAAGCACGUUUCAAAGCAAAUCCAGAUUCAAGGAAUGGAGAAAUCACAUGUUGAUGAGAGGAAUUGCAAAGUAUUGUGGCUAUUUGAAUAAUCCACCAUGUUUUGUGAUAUAACAAUUUAUCUUGUCUAUAACAUUCACAUUUCUUUAUCCUGGUAAUGGUGGUGCUGGUGAGCUUUGUUAACAGUUCUUAACAUACUCAAUUUAUUAUUUUCUAUUUGACUCUUUAAUUUCAUCUGCAGUUUAUUUUGGUAUAUACUGUAAGACAUUUCUAUAUUGCAUUUCACUAUAAAAUCUGCGUACAGUAUACUGGAAUUUUAAAUAAUUUAUUAAAAUCAUUUUGUGAUUAUUUAAAAGACCCCAUUUUAUCAUCUAUUGAGUUUUUAUAGCUGGCUGAAUCUAUUUCUGGACUCUUAUUGAGUGGUGUUUAUUUUACUUAAGUAUCCCAUUUGAGUUAUUGGUUCUUUAUGGUAAGUUUUAAUGACCAUAGAGGUAAAUUCCAUUAUUGUGGUUCAAAAAAAAUUUUUUUUUUUACCAUUUUCAUGUUUCUUUUUCUUUGUAAACUAUCAGCAUUUCUUAGAUUCCAUAUCUAUACUGAUAUUGCAAUUGUAAAACAAUAAGGGCAGAAAAGUAAAUUUUUAUAACCUUUAAGAAUAUUGUUUAACCAGAUCACUAAUCUCUCUUUAUAUUUAAAAAUUUAAAAAUAUUGAUAGCAGUAACAAAAGUUCCAAAUUUUUUCCCCAUGAGUUUAUUCCUGUUUUGUUGUUUUUUUUUCCAAUUACAAAUGGACUCUGGAUCUAUAUUUUUCUGAAAAUGACACAUAAUUUAUAUAGUUUUAGGCAGUACAAAUGAGUGAUACUGACUUUUCAUAAUUCAUACCAAACAUCACUAUUUUACCUCCUAAAUUUCUAUGACUUCCUAUGAAUAAAUUAAGUUUAUUUUAAAUAUUUUUGAAGUGGUCAUUUUAUUAGAUUUAAAAAUACUAUAUCAUACUUUUAUUUUUGGAAUAGUAAGUACUAGUUGUGGUGUUCUUUUAAAUUUUUUCAGUUUAUACUUCAGUUAAAAUAUUAAUUAAAAUUUAGAAAUUUUUAUUUAGGAAAAUGGAAAUGUCUAAGUAUAAUACAGAUUUUUUUUGUUAAUUCUUCUUAAAAUUUUUUAUCAUCUGUAUUUUUUGUUUAUAGUUAUUAAGUGCAUAAUAACCUUCUUUUAAAGUAAUUUUAAAAUAUAUUUAUUUUGUUUAUUUAUUUUUUAUGUGGUGCUGAGAAUGGAACCCAGUGCCUCAAGGCAAGCGCUCUGCCACUGAGUUACAACCUCAGCCCCUAAAGUAAUGUUUUUAUAAUUAACUUAUAGUUGCUAUCACAACAUUGUAACCUCUUUGUACUAUAAGAAUUUAUUAACAAUAUUUUCUCAUGUUAUAUUUUAAAUUAUUUAAUACUUUUGUGCUUCCUAAAUUUAUACAUGGACUUACAUGAUGAAAUAAUAUGUCCUUUGAUGAGUGAAUAAAUAAUUUUAUAUUCUUUGUCCUCUGCCUUUCUAUUUUGUGUUUUUAAAAGUAGAACAUCCAUGUUUUUUUUCUUUAGAUUAUGGAUUUGAUGGACUGUAAUUCUUUUUUAAUGUUAGAAUAAUUUAAAAGUUCAAUGUCCUAACCAUGACAUUACAUAUGAUUAAUUUUAACCAGGGCGUAUACAUUCUUAAUUGCAGUAGUCAUUAACUUAUUACUAUAAAUCAGCCACAGUUACUUUUGGCAAAUGUUUAGUGUCAUAUUAAUUCAGAUCUAUAUGCCUAAACACAGUUAGUUCGGUCUCUUCUUUAUGGCAGGUAAGAUGUUUUCUUUCUUUGUGAUUCCUCUUUCUUCUAUUCAUCAUUUGCUUGAGUUUUUUUUUUUUCUUUUUGCCUUCAUUAUUUUUGAUUUAUUUUGUUCUACUUUUGUUUAAACAAUUACUCAGUUAGAUACUUUAGCAAUAGCAGUCUCCUUUUUCAUUCCUUACUUAUUCACUCUGGUCCUAUCAGAAUUAGCUCACUAUCUUUCCCCAUUAACAUUUGCUUAUUUUUAAAAAGAAAAAAAAAUGGGAAUUGGCUUCACAGGAUACCACUCGUCAUUCUCUGAAUCAGCUUUUCACUUCCGGGAACCCCACCCCUGGGCUUACUGGGCUGUUUCAUGCCUGUUUGAUAUCUGCAGAGAAGGUGUUCAUACAUUUCUAAAAGAUUGACCAUUUGAAAAUUUGUCCUUACUUGAAGUUCAAGCCUUGGCUACUGGAAGCAUUCUUAAACUGGGCUUUUUUUUUUUCCUUCAGAUUUCUGAAGCUCUAACUCCACUAUCUUGGGAUAGCAGUAAAGGAAUCUGAAGAAAUUUUAAUUGUGACCCAUUGACAAGGAUGAAAUCUUCAUUCUUAAGUUUAAAAAUUCUUAAAGAAUUUUUAUAAUUGUCUUUGAAAGUUAAUUUCUGUUUAUUUGUUUAACAUGAGACAGUGAUAGUUCUUAUAAUUCAAUUAAUUAAUUAUUCUUUUAAUUGGUUAUUUUAAAAAUUCUAGAUUAAAAAAUUAUAUCUUUAUUAUUAAUUUUACCCUUUAGGCCCUUUUAUACUUUAUGUGUUGGAUUUCUAUUUUCUCAUCUUCCAUGUCUUUUAUGUUUUCUGUUGUUCCUUUUGUCUUAAUAUGAAUUAUAUUGAAUCCAGUCCCCAACAGUGUAUCAGAUUCUCAAAAUCUUCUUAAGUAUUAUACCUAGGGGGUUUGACUCAGGGCAAAAUACUUUUUCCCCCUUCUUUAAUUUAUUUAUUUAUUUUCCUGAGGAAGUAGAGAAUUUAAGCACAAAGGAACUAGAAGUGACCUGUGGGAAAGCAGCACCUGAGUCCAAUCUUAUCUUUCAGCAAUCUUCCCAAGUUAAGCUUUCUCAGCAUCCCUGUCAAAGUCUUGUUGUUCCUACUAGGAACGUUGACAGAUGAUGCCUUCAGAGUUAGGUGCACUCCCCAUCCCUUCAUCUGUAAUGAAGACCCUGGGCUUGCACUUUACUGAUGCCUGUCAGGAAUAUGGAGAGAAAGGUGUUGCCCAUGGGCAGAGUGUGGUUUAUUUAGAAGGGUGACUGUGGUCAGUACUCUGAAUGGAAACAGGCAAGCUUCCUAUCUGCCAUGGGAGCAGAAGAGCAGGUGAGAUUUACAGGAUUAGGCACAGAGGCCAGCCCUGUUCCAGUGGGAGGCAGUGUCUCUGUGAACUCUGGCCACCACUUCUGGAAAGCUCCAGGAGGGUGGUCGGGCUUGGCACACUGACUCAGAGCUCCCACCUGAGACUGAAAAGUGGAAUGAACUGCUUCUUGCAAAGCCUCCAGGGAGGCAAGUCUGAGACAUGACGUGGCCUGGCUUGGAUUCAUUUGUUCUGUUUGCUGUUUCUGGAAAGCCAACUUUGUUGACAUGUGGAGAAAACUGGAGAAGACUGGAGUUUUAUCAGAUAAUGAAAAUCAUCGAGGGCCCUUUAAAAGAGCCCAGACCAUGUUAUAACAUGAAGAACAUUUUAAAGCAGAUUUUUUUCAGCAGUGCUUUUCCAAGUGUGGUCCCUUGACCUGUCUCACCUGAGAAAUUGUUAAAGAUGCGAAUGCUUGCACCCCACCCCAGACCUGCUGAAUCACAAACUCUGAGGGCUGGGUGUUGAUAAAUGCUCUUGGUGAGUCAGAAGGAAGUGUAAGUUUGCAAAAAAAUUCAUUAAUUUAGGCUAGCUUCUAGAGGAUGGGAACAUUAGAUCACUUGAAAGACCGGGUUAAUUUUAUGCACUUCAGAUCUAUACAGUUAUUAUUGUAGCAAAACAGAAACUGCAGGCUUCAUUUUCUUUUCAAGGCAUUGUAGCUAUGUGGGUUGACACUUCCAGAUGAUUUUUAAUAACAUUUAGUUAUUCAACAAAUAUUUAUUUAACACCUGCUGAUAUAUGAAUUUUACCCUAGUAAAGCUGUAAGGGAAAGGAGAAGGAGGAUAGGGAGGAGGAGAAGAGGAGGAGGAGGAGGAAGAGAAUGGAAGGAGGAAGGAGAGGAAAGGAAGAAAGAAUGGAAGGAAGGAAGGAAGGAAGGAGGAGGAGGAGGAGGAGGAGAAAGUAGAUAAAGGAAAAGAAAAGCAUGCAUUGACCAGGAAAGACCCAAGUAUUGUCUACCUGAGUAUGCUCCUCACUGGGCCCAGCAAACAUUCAAUCAAGGGCUGAGAAAUCAAGGGCUGGCUGUCCUCUGAGAAGCCAGAUGGCUGGUUAGCCUGUGGCCUCUGCAAGUUGGUACAUAAAAUCAACCACCACACACAUCUAAUCUCACUUGGGGCUCACAACUGCCCUUGAGGCCCAUUUUAUGGUGAGACACAGAGGAUGAUAACCUGCUUGGUCCUCCUGUGUCCACUCUGCUAGCCACCAGGAGAGCUGAGGCUUAUACCCAGCAAUUUCUGGAACCAAAACUGGAGUUUUCCCUUGUAUCCCAACUUCUUUCCACAAGAACAGUUUCUGGUCCAUGAUGAGGAUUGUCAAGGAUAAAAAGAUGAGGAUGUAUGUUCAGCAACAUUUCAAGGAGAUUCACUGGCAGAGUAUGGAAUGGAUGUGAGCUUUAUCAGGGCAGAAGAGGGGUUGGAGGCUAAUGUCCAUUUUAGAAUCUCUGGGUCAUUCAUUAUCCACAGAUGAAUUUCAUUGUUGAGAACUUGAAGCAUAAUCCUAUAGUAAAUGUGUGCUAUACUAAAAUUUUCUAAUGAGAUAGAUUUAUAUAAUUUAUAGUAAAUAUAUCCUCUAUUUCUAUAGUUAAUUUGGCUUAGUUUAUCUAUUAAAUUACUUUCAUUUUUCCUCUUCCAAACAAUUAAGAUUAAAUAUAUAUUACUACUAGGUUUUACAGGUUAGAAAAUUAAUUAAUUCUUAUUCAAAUAUACUUAUUGGCACUUAACUACUGAAANCUUGGUGUCUAUCCCAGUGUAAUAGUCACCAGGGCUAGAAUCUAAUAAUCUGGCUCCCUUUCCCUCCAGACAUGUCAGGAUUGUGCUGACAGGAUUCCUGUCCAGUUGGCAUCAAGUGUAGCUGUGUGUCUUACUUUGAUUGAUGGAAGAUGAGAAAAAGUGUGGUGGUGUGUUUGUCACAUUUUCCUUCACCUCUCUGCCUGGUAAUGUUGAAGCAAUGUUAAUCUGCUUCAUUUUCUGGGUCUUGAAAUAAGUGUGGUCAUGAUGUGGAGCAAAGCCCUCAGCCAACUAUAAAAGGAUAAGCAACAUCAACCAACCAACCAGUCAAUCUUGUUGUUUUAAGCUACUGAGGUUUUGGAGCUAUCUGUUACUGUAGCAUCACCUAGCUUAUCCUGACUGAUAAACCAAGACAAUAGAUAGUAGUCUUCUGUGUUGCUGACUAUAUAGGAAUGUUUUCUGUUGCUAAUAAUGCAAUACCCCAGAUUACAGAUUCUCUUAGUGAGGAAGUUAUGACUGCAGAAAACUGGCAACUAAAGUUGUUGGUACUUAUAUUUUUUGUCUAAUUAAUAAAUGGACUAUCUCCCAAGCCUGAACAUCAUGCAGCACAUAGACCAAGUAGAAUUUCUAGGAUUGCCGAGCCAAUCCAAGAUGACCUAUAAUGACUUUGUUAGACACUAUGUCCAAGGUGGUAUGAGAGGCCACCUGACUCUCUAGAUGAGCUCUUUAUCUUUUUUACUGUAGAUGUAAGAGAGUUGAAUGAUAGUUUGUUAAAAAAUGUGUUGAAAUUCUGCUUAGUUGGUAUUUGGUUUAUAGAUAUAUAACUAUAUUCAUUUUCUUUUAAGUGUUAUUUAUUCAUCUCUUUAUUCAAUUAUUUGUGUAACACAUUGUUUACCACCAUGUCAUGGGCCUUUUCUUAGAUACAGGGAAUAUAAUGAUGAAUAGAACAUAACCCCUGCUCACCUGGGACUCAGUCCAGUUGGAAAGACCCUAUUAUGUGCAAAUAAUCAUAUAUUAUGUUAAGUAAUAUAGCAGGUUCAUAGAAAAACUAUGCUAUAGGAAGGCUUAAUUAUGUACAUAGCAAUAUCAAAGAAGGUUUUCUAGAGGAGGUGGCAUUUUAGCAGAGCCAGGAAGGUUGGUCAGGAGUUUGAUAGGCAGAUGGGAUAAUCAGAAAUUCUCCAGACAGAGUAGAGGAGGUCUUCAAAUAAGUGUUUAGUCAGAUAGAAUGGAGGGUGUUCCUAAAUUUGGGCUGCAGAAGAGAGGUGAAGAAGACAGAUGAAGCUGGAAAGGCAGGCAGGUGUCAGGGGAAGGGCUUUGUGUGUUAAGAUAAGGACUUUAUGUUUGUAUCCUGUACACUGAAAUUCUUGAAAGAUUUCCCAGGGAAUGUUAUGCAUCACAUCACAUUGGUCGGAUUACAGAGCAUGGACUGUAUGGGUGCAAGCCUGGUAUCAGAAAGACCAAUUGUCAGCUCUUCCCAAGGUAUGGUUGGAGACGAAGUAUCAGAACUGAGGCAGGAAAUAGAAGAAGGGGAAGCUGAAGUAAGAUUCAAAGAAAAUUUAGGCAGGAGAAGUGCCAGAGGGCCCGGGAAAAGGAGACUCUUAUUAUCUUAUACGGAAGUGCUAUUAACCUCAAUAGGGAAUAAAAAAAAAAAGAAAAUAAAGAUAAGUUUUUGUGGGUGGCAAGAUGAAAGAUUUAUUUUGUGUUGACUUUGAUCUACCCAGGUCAAAUUUGAAGCUCAAGAGAGAGAGAUCCAGGUUCAAAAUAAACAUUCGAUGCUUAGAGAAUGAGUAGCAAGUGAAGGGAUGGGAGUGGAUGGCGUUGCUCAUCCAGAUCUUGUGAGGCAAGAAGGGAACCGUGAAGGGCAGGCCUCUGGAGAACUGAAGUCUGCAAGGGGGACAUGGAAGAGUGAGGGAAGCUGAGAGGAGGGAGCCAACUGGUGAUUUAUUUUGGAAUAUUCUCAUGCUGAAUUGUCUUUUGGCAAUUACCAGAACUGGCCUUCCAUGCCUUCUUCUUUUUUUUUCUUCCUCUCUCUCUCUCCUCCCUCAUCCAUCAUCUUCUUUUCUUCCACCAUUUUUUCUUUUCUAUCUGUUUUACCCCUCCUCCUUUCCUUUCCUUUUUAUUUCAUUCUUGACUUUUCCAAAAUAAAAUCUAGAGACUCUGACAAAGCACUUUCCCCCAGGUUUUUUUCCCUUCUCAGUCUCAGAAUCUUAAAUAUAAACAGAACAUAAUUAUUUCACAAUCACUGAACAACAGCUAACUGUAAGAAAAUGAACUUGUAUAGAGCAUUUCAGAUUCCAUUGAUUAUCUCAUUUGUAUCCCACAGAAUCCUAUGGGAGAGAGAUUUACCAUCAUUUUAACUAGGAUGAAACAGAGGCUCAGAUAGGUUACAUGGCUUGUUUCCCCUCAGUCCCCCCAAAAGAAAACUCACACAGCCAGGUGUGGUAGUUGGGAUUUAAACCUAUCUGUAAGCCUGUGUCCUUCCCUAUUGCCCUUCCCAUUUCCUGUUACUUGCUCUUCUUGUUUUGCGACCCUCAUUUUCUUUGUACUCAGCAUUGGGUGGAAUCCUUCAACUCAACUCUUACCAGCCCAGGACAAAGUUCUCUUCCAUUCAGACUUAUUGGACUCUGGAUCUGUUCUGUAUUUCCCCCUCCCCCCUCAGAAUGCCUGUAGCUUUGCAAGUGUAGGCCCAGUUCCCUUGUCCUGCCCGCUGCCCGGUUUUGUAUUAUGGUCCUGAUGGUUGACUUUGCCCCCAAGGCAGGUGACCUGAUAAGUUAUGAUACUUCUAGCAAACCCUGGCACUGACUAUAUGGCAGACAGGUACUACCUCAUUUUCCCCUCACAGUCCUGAGGAUGAUUUAUGGGUCUUGCUGUAUUCACCACCAACAGUUCCUUUGCAUCUAGACUUGGCCCUCAUUGGUCUUCCAGAAAUCUCACGUGGGAUUUCCUCCCUACUCUGCUGGGUCUGUGACUAAGUCCCAUCAUGUCCUCCUCCUUCUGAUGACUAAGGUUUCUUGUUGGCUGAGCCUCCUGCUUAAGUCCUAAGCACACAGUGUCCAUUUCCUGGGGCAUUUGCUCCCCUGUCCCAACUUCUACAGAAUUUGUGAUUGAACGCCCCCAAACCUGCCUUUACAAGUUCCCAACAAUGCUGCAGACAGAGUUAUUAGCAUGCUUUACUAUAAGUAAUAAACAGAUAUGGCCUCUAUUCUGGCACAGUCUGUGGUGGAGUCAGGACUGUCUCAGUAAACCUCUCAUCACAAUUUUAUAAAGCAGAAUUUUGGGGUUAGUUGAGUUUUACCUCAUUUGCUUUAUUUCUCUGGCUAUAAUAAUCUGGAUAACCUCCAGCCCUCUCACGGCCUAGAUAAGGUGAAGGAAUAAGUCCUGCCUCUCAGUUUUCAGGUUCUUGCCUCCACAAUUGGAGUGUUCCAUGUUAGAGAGAAACAGAAGUGGGCUGAGGGUUUGUACCCCUCAGGUUUAAUAGAUAGGUCUUCCUGCAGCAACAGCUUUAGUCCUCAGAAGAAAAGGGAAAUUGCAUGGAAAUGGAAGGAGACCCUCAUUGUUAUACAAAAUUACAUAUAAGAGGUUGUGAGGGGAAUGGGAAAAAAACAAAAACAAGGAGAGAAAUGAAUUACAGUAGAUGGGGUAGAGAGAGAAGAUGGGAGGGGAGGGGAGGGGGGAUAGUAGAGGAUAGGAAAGGCAGCAGAAUACAAUAGUUACUAAUAUGGUAUUAUGUAAAAAUGUGGUUGUGUAACCGAUGUGAUUCUGCAAUCUGUAUUUGGGGUAAAAAUGGGAGUUCAUAACCCACUUGAAUCUAAUGUAUGAAAUAUGAUAUGUCAAGAGCUUUGUAAUGCUUUGAACAACCAAUAAAAAAGGGAAGAAAAAAAAAGAAAUGAAAACUGUUUAUGGAGCAGAACACAACAUUCACAUUAAUUUUAAGAUAAAAUGAGACUUCAGAUUUCCUACUUGGAGGGCCUUUCCUACUUGACAGUUUUGUGAGAGUCUGGCUUAGAGCAUAUUUGAGCUAGAAUAGGCAAAAGGAGCUGGUACUUAUUAGGUACUCAAUCCUUCCUUCCUUCCUUCCUUCCUUCCUUCCUUCCUUCCUUCCUUCCUUCCUUCCUUCCCUCUUCUUUUUUCCCAAUGUUCUCAGUCUCUUUAUUUUCUGCCUUGGUGAAAUGCUCUCAUUAGAGAGGACAAUUUGUCACUGGUAUGUUUUAAGCGUCAGUGCGUUUGGGAAUUGUAUAACUGUCAUAGACUUAGACUGCAGGAGACUUCAGUGACUGCAUAAGUCCUCCUCUUUCAUAUGCUACAUGAGGAAAUCAGUCAAGGUCACAUAGCUGGCUAGAGGCACAACCAGAGAGGACCCCUGGGUUCUUGGCUCCUGGUCCAGAGCUUUCAGCAAAAUUACAUGGACUUUCCACCAAGGCAUUUGCUCUCAUUUCAUGACCAGGUUGUGGGAUUUGCAGAUUGUCUGCUGUUGACGCUGCUAUAAGAACAAGAUCAUGGUGAUGAUAGGAGGUGUCCGCUCCAGAUUAGCAAUAGAACAGGCCUCUGGAAAAGCCAGAGCUGGAGGUGCUUGCCAAACUGUAGCAACCAGUGCCUAUGAAGCCCAGGAAUCCAGAUCCAGCCAAAACCAGGGCCAGCUGCUCCAGGGGAAGGAACAAAUUGUUCCUUCCCUGCCCAUAUGGGGAGCUGGGCAUGUCCUGAGGCAGGCCACUGUUACCACAGCUGCUUUCCUGAGAGGAAGGACAUCGUGAGUGCCUUCACAUUCCUGCUCCUUGUUCUCCUUGGCAACUGGCUCAGUUAUUUUUCUCAGUGAUUACAUGGUAGAUUAAUAACUACAAGCUAUUUUUAAAAAUUUUAUGGACAAAUGCAGAUCUCUUCUUUCAGAUAAACUGUUGCUACAUGGACAAUGGACCUAGAAGGAUCCAGAAACAAUGGGUCUAACCAGAUAAUUUUACAUUCUAUCUUUUCUUCAACAAGGAUGUUCAUGAGCCACUCCAAGACUAGUUUUGUGGGAGGAGCUUGGAAGACAUGAACAUAAGAUGUGAUCCCUGUCCUCAAGGAUCUGUUUAGUUUUAUACUGCUGUUGUAGCAACUUACCAUACUUUAGUGGCUUAAACAACAGUUCUGGAGGUCAGAGGUCCAAAAUAAAUCUUACCCAAAUCAAGGUGCUGAGCAGCUUGGCCCCUGCUGUAUCCUCUAGGGAAGAGCCUGUUGCCAUCUCUAGCUUUUGAUACCACCCCACUUUCCUUAGCUUGUGGUCCCUUCCAUCUUCAAAGGAUGGAGCAAUGGCUAAAGUCUCCCAAUGCUCUCUUUCUCCCUUUUAAGGACCACGUGAUUAUGUUGGGCUCACCUGGGUUAUCCAGGACGAUCCCCUCAAUCUUUAAGUCUGAUUAGGAAUCCCUGACUACCCUUUGCCAUUUAACCCAACAUAUUCACAAGUUUUGGGAAAGAGGAUCUAACAACUUUCUGCCCAUGGUGGAGAUUCAGAUGUACUCAUAGAUGAGCCUUAAACAAUAGGAUGGGUGCUGUGUUGGGAGUGCACAAGAGAGGCACCUAACUCAGUUGAGGGGGGAUAGUGUGACAGUGGGGCAAUGGUUAGGGACAUUAUCCUGAAAAAUGUGACAUUUUAAUUUAUACUUUUGGUUUGUGUGAAAGUCUGGCCAAGAAAGAGGGAAAGGGUACAACAGAAGCAAGAGUAUGGCAGCAUGGCAGAGGAUGCAACGGUGGCUGGAAUGUGGGGUCUAGAGGGGAGAACGGUGCAUAAUCAGCUAGGCUGGAAGAGGUGGGCACUGGGAAAGUUCCAGGAGGAAACAGAUGGCCUUCUUAAAGAGAAUGCUGCAAAGUAGAAAAGACCUUUUACACAGUGUGAAUUUACAGCUUUGAGCUGGGUUAAUUGAAGGCAAUAAGGGCUGGUAAACUCCCAGGACUAGCGACCACCAAGUGUCAUCAUCCCUAGACUUGGGUGCCAUGGGAGGGAAGAGUCACUGAGAGGUAGUGAAAGGUUGUACUACGUACGGGAGGGCACCACCUGUUAGAAGUUACAGUCUACAAUAAAAUAAAACCAAGAAGACACUAUGGCCAAAAUAUAACUCAGCAGGGACAGAGCCAGAGGAAUGCAAUCUCUGACUUAAAGGUGGGUCUUCCCAUUUUUCGAUCUUCUACUCUAACCUUCCAUUGGCAAACCCAAUGAGAAGCCAUAGAGUAGAGAUUGGUGGAUACAGUCUCUGGAACUUAGUCCUUUGUGACUCAGAAGAGAAUAGAUAUGCAUGGAAAAUGGCUCAUACCAGAUUGGAGGGCCUUGUAUGUUCCCUGUAUGCUGUGAAUAAAGUACCUGGAUUUUAUAUUGAAGGCCUCAGAGAGUCCCAGAAGUAUUUUAAGCAGGCCAAUCAAUGGUUCUGAAUUUUUCUCUAAGCCUAUUUACCACUUCAUUACUCAUAUCACCUUUAUCCCCUAGGGUAAAGAUUUUAUCCACCCUCUAUCUCUAAUCCUUAUCCCAUCUCUCACAGCUUGACAAGCUGAUGUUAGGUGCUCUUUGCCAGCCAGGGGGUUAAAGGCCAAUAAUGCCUAGUUGUGUACCCCUUUCAGGUAAUGCUUUGAUUCAUUAGGAGCCUUAAAUGCCUGGAUCAGAUUAUGGGGGCACUUCUAAAUGGGCUCCGAAUGGGACACAUUUAUUUAGCUGAGAAGUCUCUAGGUUGAUGACAUAGGCUGGAAAUUUUCUGGUCUCAACUGGGCUUGCUCACAUAUCUGAAGGUCACCAAAUCUGUUAGCUUCUGGGGAUUGGCCCAUGGUCAAGUAAUGUUUGAUGAGUUCUGAGGAUUGGCCCAUGGACAAGCCAUGUUUGAUGAAACUCUUCUUCUACUGUGUCUUCCAUUGCUGCAGCAGGUUCAUGGCACAAUGGCCCAGAGGCAAGAGCGGAAAAGGAAUGGAAUAUAUAGGCUUUUUCUAAGCCUAUAUAUUAGAUAGAUGUGUGUCACAACUAUCAACAUCCUAUUGGUCAAAGUGUGUCGUGACUAAAUAGCUUGUACUUCUUGAUGACAGGAACUGAAAAGUCACGUGGCAAAGGACACAUGGUUAGGGGAGCAGAUAAAGAACUGGCAGAAUUAAUGCAAUUGAUUGACUCAUCAUUGCUAGGUGCCUUAUCCCAGGCAAUGAAGAUUUGUUAUCUAUCAAAUUAUCUGCUUAUUGUGAGAUUUUCCUACUGAAACAUAAGCCCUGUGAGAAUCCAGCGGUACCUCCAGUGAUCUAACAUAAUACAUGCUCUGUAAGUUUUUUCACUGAAGCCAUAAGUGAAUGCUCCUGGGCUCACAGUGAAGAAUUAUUUGGAGAAUUGUCUUUAUGAAUCUAUUCUAGUAUGCAGACAAUUGUUCCCUGAAAAUAAAUGAAUUGCAGAUGUGUUUUCCUUCUGCCUACGUAGGCCUCUGUAUCAAUGUUUCGUUUCCUUUUUCUAGGUUUGAUCAAAUUGAGGCCCAGGAGAAGGCAUGAAGUACAAGGAGAAGAUGAGCUCUCCUGCCAUCAGGGAAUAUUUCACCUCAUCAUUGCUCUAUGGCUGGGGAGUUGGUUUAGUGGCACAGCUCAAACAGGUACAUUACUGUUCUGGAGGGAUGAGGCCUCCUGUGGUGACUGAAUUGUGUCCCCCCAAAUUCAUAGUAACAUCCUAACCCCUAGUACCUCAGAAUGUGACUGUGUUUGGUGACAGUCUUUAAAGGGGUGACAUUAAAUGAGGGCUUUAAAAGUGGGCUUUAAUCUAAUACAAGUGCUGUCCUUAUAAGAAAAGAUUAGAACACAGAUAUACACAGAGGGAAGACCAGGUGAAGACACAGAAAGAAGCCAAGGAGAGAGGCCACCAUGACACCUUGAUCUUGGACUUCUAGCUUCCAGACUGUGAGAAAAUAAAUUUCUGUUGU
rnacentral:lncRNA from 1 species